UUUUUUUUUUUUUUUGUUUUUUGAUAAUGCGUAAUCUUUUCUUACAAUAAUAAUGUAUACACGCGAAGGCAUUCCAUCAUGUUUCAUAUUCAUAUGCACCACCACGUGACAUUAACAACAAAUAGGAUCUGCGGUAGGAAAUGGCCAAACCCCAUCUACGUGAGCUGAACUUAAAGUUCCGGCUUAAAAAUUCCUUCCCACGAGUUGAGACUCCUUCGAAGGGAGAAAUUCAAGCAGCAUUUAAGACUUUAUUGUAUGUACACUAACAUGUCUUGACGUAUGCUACAUGUUUGGAGUUCAAACUUGAAUUAAGAUGCCGUAGCAUACUUUCAAGCUUUCAGUGUAUGUAUAUGUUAAUAUAGAAAAGAUUAAUUCAAUUAUAAAUAAUAAUAAAAGUAUUUAUUUUGAUCUUUGAGUCAGUUGAGGAAGUCAACACUUCAUGAUUUAACAAAUAGCCCUAAACUAUAUCCCGAUUCGGCUGAAGCAAGCAAGUGGUCUUUGGCAUUAGGGAUCAGUGCCUCUCUGUAGCAAAGGUUUGAAAAUCUAAAGACAAACCUAACCCUCUUGAUUACGAAAUUAGGUAAUGAUUAAAAAGCUAGUUGGUGUUAGUUGAUGUUAGAUUGUGGGCUUAAUUGGGUCCAUCUAACACUACUGAAAUGCGUUCUCAAUUAAUUAGCGGCCGAUGGAACUUUAAAAGCCUCGCUCUACAUAGGUGGCCUUUCCAAGAGGCGAAAGAUUAGCUCUAAAAAAGAAAAAGAAAAAGAAAAAGAAAGAAAGGAGAAAAAAUUAAAAUAAAAUAAAAACCCUUUAGUAGGUUCUGAUUUUAGGAAACAUCGGAUCAUUCGUUCAAUGAUCUACCCCCUUUUCUCUGUUUCUAAAGGAUUGUUGUCGAUGGAUUUUCAAAUUCACGUUUUUAUAUUGUCUGACCAUCCAAUCAUUUGACUACUUUUUCAAGUAUGUAGUCAAAUAGCAAUCAUUGUGAAAAUUUAAAAAAAGCAAUCCCAAACAUAGAAGAGAGCCAGACUUGUUAAAUAAUCACACAAGAUCUUCAAAUUACAUAAAUGGAUAGUACAAAAACAUUAGAGUAAAUGGGAUCAAAUAUGCAGCAUAGGCAUUUUGGCCACAAGAAAAACUUCAUCUAAGAUCAAUACAGUAGAUUAGUCUAUAGUCUAUUGAUCAUUAAGCACGAUGCCAAUUUCGAUAUUGCCUACUAUAAAGCAUAAUAUGGCCAAGCUAUGCAAAUCAUAAUGCACUUAGAUACUUGAAAAAAAUGUUCCACGAUAUAUACAACUUGAAUUUGCCCUUUCUCUUGCAUUUGGCUUUUCUCCUCUGCGCAUGCAUAAAUUUGUAUGUAUCCCUAGAUUGUAGUAGGGCACAAUAUGUAUGCAUAAUUCAACUCUUAAAUGCUUAAUUAUCGUUGUAUGCAAUUUUAAGGCAGAUUAUUAGCCUGGUGUCCUUUCAAUCUUCCAUGGGACAAGAAGUAAAAGCACUCCUACUUCGGCCACACGAAAUAAUUGGUUUGGAAUUAUAGUAUACAAACGCGGAAUUAUAUUGAGAGAGACGGAAAACGUUACCAUACAAACACUUUUUUAUUUUAUUUAUUUUAGUAAGAUGAUGUAGAGAGAGCGUUAUUAAAGCAAAAACAAAGUGAUAGGAAAAACAUCGUGGUCUCUUUGAUGCGGUAAAAUUGAUGUCCUAAUUCUUAUCAUUUAGAUGUUAUGACUGUUUUGGCCAAAAAAAACCCAUUUAUCAUUAUUUUUUACAUUAGGUGUUUUCUUUUUCUUUUUUUUUUUAACUUUUCUUGGAGUAUUACUUUUACAAACUAUGUCUUCCUUAACGAUUUAAGUCCGUACUAGUGAAUUUCUUGCAUCAGUUUUAAUAUCAUUCACAUGAUUCUGUAAAACAAAAUUAAUUGAUUCAUAUGAAAUAGUUUUUGCAAAAAAUAAAUGAAUAAAUAAAAGAUCCAAAAUUAAUUGGUCAUUUAGAGCAACAAUUAAAAACUUGCAAAGGACCUAUUUUCAAGGAUUUUGGAUGGUUCAGCCUACAUCUCGACCAACAAUUAGUGGAAUUUGUUUUUUAAUAAACGAGAACAAUCAUGGGCAGUUCAACCGUGAAAGGUAAAAAUUAACAGCUUUAUAAAAUUGGACUCAUACUCUCCAUAAUUUUCCUAGACGAUAGUAUUUCAGUUAUUUAUAUAGCAUUUAUCUUACUAAAAAUAGCAGCAUCUGCAAUCAUAAUUAUUAUGCAUGAUCAACGCCGUGAUUUGUAGGGCACAAUCGUGCAUGCAUGGCACGUAACAGACCUAAGUGUCCUUUCAAAAAUAUCAGGAGGAAAUGAAAGAGUAGCAGAAAUAUUCAAUCAAGGGGGACCUUUAAUUAGGAUGGGGCUUGGCAUAUCGACGAGGAAGUGCAAUUUUCAGGCCAAUUAUUAGCUUACACAAAAUCUUUUACUUCGUUGUCCAUCCAGCAAGCUAGAAUUAAAAGCAAGCCGUCUGUGGCCUCAAGAAAUAAAUCUUAUUAGGGUUAAAUGGAAAAUGGAAAUAAAAAAGGAUAACGUUUUUAUACACUGUUAGUGUAUAAAAUAUUCUUUACCCUAGUAAAUUUAAAUUAUGGCAAAUAACAUGAAUUUAGAUUUAAAAUUCUAUCACAUCAACUAAUUUUUAGGAGUUUAUCUAUUAUGAUAUUUUCCAUAAACCGUGGACUAAUAUACAACAAACAAUUGCACGAAUCUACAGUACUGUCUCUAUGCAAUGAAUCACCAGAGUCGACUUAAUGAAUAGGGAAGGGAUGUUAUAGUCUUUUCUCCCAUCAAAAUUUAGGGUUCGAAUCCUGUGUGACUUGAUAGUUAAGGACGAAAAGGAUGUGAGAAGGAAUAAAAAGAUUAGUAUAUAUAUAUACACGUACAUGCGCACACACAUAUUAAAAAUUACUUAAGUUCCUGCGUGAAGUUUAUCAUGAUAUAAACGUUAUCAGUCAGAAAUUAAGUUUUAGUCUUCUUCGCAUAGGUAUCUAAAACAAGAGGAUGCUCUAUACGCUGAAAUAUGAUAUGCUGUUCCUAAACGUAUAAGCAUUUUUUGGUGGAAUGACUAAUAACAGCACGCAUUAGAUUUUAUCCACCAAAAUGCGCACAAGGACGAUAUAAAAAUCUCUGAAGUAUGACGGAAAAAAUCCUGAAUUGCAUGCACUUUAGCGACAAAAAUUUGUACUCGCUUACGUAAAAAAUAACAAGAACUCACCGUUUAUCUUUAUACUUGAACCGCACAAAGAAAAAACAUAUAAGACAAUCUCUCUAUUUUAAGAUGAUCGAGACUAUACCAGUAACUUUUGCUGUCUUCUCUACUAUUAUACACGUGCUGUGAAUUUUUCCAAGGAUAUGUCUUUCCUAGCUUUUAGGCCUAUUAGAAUUCUCAGUAUUAGGAGGAUCAAGAUGUCCACAAUUAUCAAAGUAAAACUAGGAGGUAAGUUAAAGUGGGUAGAUAAUUAAUCCCAUAUAUGAUAAUUACUUUUUUUUUAAGGAUUGAAGGUGUUAUGAUAAGAGUACCUCGUACGCCAUGAUAUCUUAUUUGCCUAUCAGCUAAUGUUUAUAUAUUUCAUCGUUUGGGUUGUCUCCAACUCGUGAAGCUUGCCUGAAAGGAUUUUAGAGGGAGUACAAGCUCAAUUAAAUCAAUUUCCAACUACACUGGUUUCUUUGAGCCCCUACAUUGCAAAUCUUGCUUGUACUUGCUAUAUUCGGUAUCGUACGUAUGAUUCAUUGGCCUAUGGUUUUAUCGAUUGCAUGAAAAGACUACUUCUACGGGAAGUAUCUUUGGGUAAGUUUAGAUGAUCAAAUCAAUAUAUUCAGACGCAUAUACAAAUAUUUCAGUCUUUCCCUACCUAAAAUUAUCAGUUUGAAUACGCGGGAUGGCCAUUAAAUUGAAUCGAUCACCUCACACACCCCACAAAAAAAAAAACGCACACACACACACACACUUUAUAUUAGGCUGUGUCUGCCAUAAUCAAAACCAUCAGUUCGUAUAGAUAUGAAAGUUUAUAAAGUCCAAGAAUUUAGUGAAAUUCAGGUGUCCAUUAAUAUUGAUGGCUGCAAGUGCCAUUGCAAACUUUAUUCAUAAUUAAUUAAGCUACAAUGCUUAGCAACUUUAUUAAUUUGUAACUGAAAUUGCUUCCAUACUUUGAGACACUAGCUCCCUAUAACAAAGAUUCAACCUCUCUAUGAUUAUAAUUAACCCCGAAUUUUCAAGCCGCUAUGCUUGUACUUAGGGCUCUGGACCACGUCCCCGGAGGCUGCAGCGGCUGUUGCAUUUCUUUCAUGCUUCCCAUCGCCACUGCUACUCCCCUUAGUGGCAACUCCUUGCACUUUUUUGCACGACGGACACACUGAGAUCCCCACGCAGUUUGUUAUUUGUGCAUAAAAUGCUGCCCUUAAGGCUUUCAAAUCGUCAAUCUCUUUCUUCAACUUGCCAUUUUCCUCUCUCAGAUUGUCGCAAUGGUUCCUCCAUAGCUCGCAAUCAGUUUCUGUUUGCUUCAGUUUUGUUCUUCGAGAUCAUUCCAAGAAUUGUAUUUUCAAUCAGAUAAAAAUUGAAAACGAAGUGUAAUAAACAACCCAGAAAAGAGAAAUUAAAAAAAAAAAAACUCGGAUUUAGGUGUUGAUAAAAUAAUCACCUGGCCCUCCUGUUUUGGAACCACACCUCAACUUGCCGAGGUUUCAAACCUAACCUGGCAGCCAGCUCAAUUUUCUGAGCCUGCAACAAGUGUUAAUCGAAUAUUUCUUGUCCUCAGAACUAGUAAAAACUUUGUAAAUCCAAACGAAAUAAAUUCAAGUACAUCUUCUAAUGAUGUGAUCUGGUCUCUCCUGAUCAUAUAUUUCUCUCUACAUUUAAUCGCAAUUCUUUUCACCUUAAGAAAUUUAGUAACAUGCUGCUCAUAGAUAAUAUACACGUCCAGAGUAUCAAUAAGAUUAGAAGGAAAAGGCGCGCUAAUUAACACGUCAAGACUGUGACGGGAAAAAAUGAAAGAAAUACUUACAGUGUUGAGAGUGGUGUGCUUUUUGAAACUAUCUUCUAGAACAGCUGUUUGCUCCUUAGAGAGCCUCAACUUCUUUCUGCUUUCACCGCCAUUAUCCUCGCUAUUUCUGCUAGAUUGUCCUUCGUCAACCAAGGACAGGUCCAAUGACAAGGCACGCUUGUCUGGCUUAGGCACUGAAUUGCCGGAAGAAGUACCAAUUCCGAGGGCAAGUUUGGUGUUGCAAAAGUCAUCAUCCACCAUGAUUGAGGAUACAGAGAGAGGGAGAGAUGGAGAGAAAAGUUGAAAUGAUAGAAUGAUGUUGGGAAAGGGGGGAAUAUAUACAUACGUAUAUAUAGGUUGUAGCUAGGAAUUUUUUUUUUUUUUUUGGAGUGAUGGAGUAAUUUGUUGUUACAUGAAAGUGGGAUCAAAUAAAUAAUGUAUUUAUUAUGAAGUUAUAAAAGAUGACAAAGCAAAACUGCAAUAAUAUGAAAUAGUAAUUAAUUGCAGGCGUUAGAGUAUUUGUGGAUCCUUAGAUAGAAGCUCAAUUAGUCUAUAAGCCAUGCUUAUUCUAGAUGUUUGACUUGUAUGUUUAAUGUUAUGGAAGAUUUGAACCUUAAUUUUGUGUAUAUUAAUUUGUUUGAAGGACAAAAGUUCCCUCAGUAAUUCUGGUUUGCUGCUACUCAUCCUGCAGAGUUGAUUGAUAAUCUGAUUAAAUGCAGCAUGUAACUUCACAGGUAUUCACUGAUAGAGAUGAAAACAAGCAAGAUCUGUAAUAGCCGGACGGUUAUGAAACAUUCACCAACCCCCUGGAUUAUUGGUAUUAAAAAAUAAAAUGUUUAAUUAAAGAGAGCUAGCAAUUAUUAAAAUAAAUUUUCUUCAUUUAAACAUGAAUUAAUAUUAUUGGAAAAUUAGACGAUGGUUUUGCAAAAAUGAUCCUAUAAGUUGGUUCUAAAAAUUGUUGCAGCCCAAUUUGUGGAUUGGUCCAAUAACAUGUUUUCAAAUUUCAAUUAGUGAAUGAGGUUCUGCCAUUCUUCUUAUUGUUUAGUUUUGCAAGCCCUUCUCAAUGAGUUGCUAAGAAAAUUGAGAUGCGAUAAUGAUGAAGAUUGUUGGAGUUCUAUAUGGAGCCAUACAUUAAUUGGUUCGUGAAAGUUGAACAAUUUAAAAAUGCAUUUAUUAUUAAGUUAUGGAAGAGGGUGACAAAGCAAAACUGCAAUAAUAUGAGAUAGUAAUUGUACGCGUUAUGAGUUUUGAGUCUUAUAUUGUAUCCUUGCCUCGAAGUAUAAUAAUAUCCCGUGUGGCAUUCUUGAUUUUACGGGUGUAACUUCUAAGUUUAAGUUUAGCCAACAAUCAAUUGCAAUUUUGGAAUAUGGGCAUAUAAGGGAAUUCGCGCGGUUUAAUUUGGAAAGGUUUAAUUUGGAUCAAUGUUGGAAACCUCACAAAUUGUUGAAUCAUUAUUUAUUUAUAUUGGGUCUAUCUAACGGGCGCUUAUAGGUCAUUUGUUAAGAUAUAUUUUAGACGUCAUGUUUUAUAAAUGUAAAAUUAAUUAAGAAAAGUAAAUAAAUAUAAGAAAAGGUAGAUAAGAUUAAAUAGAGAAAGUAUAUAAAUGCAAGGAAGGAUAAUAAUUAUUAGUAUGCAUAUAUUCAUAGUAAGUUAUAUAAAUUUUAGAUAUAUUAACGGCUGCCAAAUUGACACCCAUGAAAAGAAUCCAUUUAUACUAUAGCUCUGCGCACAGGAUUUGGCAAUAGAAAUGAGACGAGAGCAACCAUGGAAAGGUAGACGUUUUCAAACGUACACCUGCACCACAUGAGUUCUUGAUUUUAACUAGGAAAGGCUGAAUUGAGAGAGCGUAUAAUUAUCAAAUAUUGCUAUGAAAAGUUGGAUUGCAAUAAUUUGUUAGAAACAAUAGCUAUUAUAUUUGCCUACCAAUUGGUUAUAAAAUUAUUACGUGGUCCAAAACCUACGAACUAUUAUUUUAAAGUGAGACGUAUUGAAUUUAGAACCUCCUAUUUAUAAUUCUUCCCACCUUAUCACGUAAUUCAAUGCUCCCCAAAACUAUGAACUACUUAAAUGAUUUGUGUUAGAUAAUUGAUUUUUUUAAAACUAUUUUGCGUAGUCUUUUUCUUCUUCAUCUUCUGUAAUGAAACAAAACCUACGCGAGAAAUUGAGUGCUUUUUGUAUGCAAAUUCCUCUUAUGGUUGAAAAAAAUAUCUUAUGUAUUUUGAUAUGGAUUGCGAAAGAAUAAUGUGAUCAAGUCAUUUUAAACGAGAAAAAGAAAGAAGAAAAACUAAUUGGUGAUUUAUAAAUUUAAAUGCUUCCAAAUAAUCUACACAAUAUAAAAAUUUUCAAAAUUUGCAUCAAAUCUUUCAAUUAAAAUACAAGAAUUUUCUAAAAUUAGACACAAGCCUUAUCUAUAUAUAAGAUGGAUGAGAAAUAUAUUUAUGUACUCUUUCAUACCCAUUGCGAGAGAAUAAUGUGAUAAGAGCACGAAUAGUGUUUGGCGACUAUAUAACAAUUAGCGAAGGAAAUAUAUGAAUGUGGUAAACAAACUAAAGUGAAUAGCAAGUUAGCAAAUGAGUGGUCCAAAAAGUCCCUUUCUUCUUGGAUUCAUUGUUCAGUUGGUUCAAGAUAGAAAGAUUGAUAUCGAUUAUCACUUCAGCGAAAAGCAUAUAACAAAAAGCUCUGAAGACUAAGAUACUCUUAAAGUUGAAAAAAUUUGUUCGUGUCUAGAUUACUAGUUUAUUGUAUAUUUUCUAACAAACCAUUAAAACCAAUUAAGUUGAUAAUCAGCUCAUUAGCUUUACCACUGGCGGUUAAGUAUCCUAAAUUAAUUGGCCGUUCAUACAAGUUGUAUCUUUUGCCCAAUGCUAUAAAACUGGCUAAAGCCUUAUAGUUAACGUCUUGCCAUCCCGCACUAUUGAUUGACAAAAGAGAAUCUGCCUCGUGUUUCGUUUUAAUGUGAAGCUACCGCACAAGUUUAAAGAAGCCUUAAUUUGCCCUCUUCUUUUCUAGCUUGUGUCAUUUUCUUUUAAUCCAUGACAAUCAUUAACGGCUAGAUGAUGUUUAAUUGUGGGAUGAAUUUUGUUAAUUUAACUGUGAAUUAAGCAUCUAUUCCUCAGUAACAUAAACGAGGAUAUGUUCUCGAUCAUUAUUGUCUUUCUUCCUCUUCCUAACUUUACAACCCUUGCCUUUUGGGAAACAAUUAAAUAAAAAUGAUAUUUUGACAUUAGAUAAAAGCAAAUGUAAUCUGGAAGUAUAAAGCAUAACAUACCAAAUUAUAACAUGAAAAAUAUCAGUCGAAAUCUAAUUUCACAUAUAUAUAUAUAUAAUAGAACGAAGUACAACUUUAUUAUCCUCUCUAUUAAUUUCUUUUAGCUUUUGCCCUCUGCAGUGCUUAUAUAGGAAUGAUGCUAGCUGUAGAUUGUAGGGCACAAUCAUGCAUGCAUGCAUGGUUCGUAACUCUUAAAGAACAAAAUUGUCGUUUACAAAAUAUGGGGAAAUGCAAAGAAGGAAUAAAAAGAAACGAGGGUUGGGUAAGGUUUUUAGGAUGACAAAUGAAAGACUAGUGUAAUAAAAGGAGGGUUCAGUAGGGUGGGGCUUUGCAUGUGGCAUUAGAAUUGCAAUUUGAAGGCCAAUAAUUAGCUUAGAAAAAUUUUUCAACUUGAGCGUCCUUCCAAGUCACAAGAAGUAAUAGCACGCCGGCUGUGGCCAAACGAAAUAAUUGGCCUAUACUUUGGUGAGUGACAAUUACAAGUACAAGGAAAAGGUUUUUUUUUUUUAAACUUUUUCAAUUUCAUUUAUAUUGAUGCCAUGAUGCACAAGGGGUUAGCAUAACUCCAAAAAAAAAAUGUAUAGCAAAAAUGGCAUUUAUGCGUUAAUUAUUUUUUAAAUUGAAAUUGGAAAGCCUUUGUGAGGUGCAGUGACCAGCGGUAAACUUAAAACAUUAUGUGACUCUAUAUGAGAGCCAUUGAUUAUUUUAACCACAGAGAUUGUCUAGUGAUUACGAGAGAGUAUUUAGAAUUUUUUCUACUAUCAAAUUUAAGUUUCAAAUCAUGGAUCUGAUAAUUGGGAAUAGAAAGGGUGUGGAAAGAGGAGGGAGGGUAAAAAAAAAAAAAAAAAAAGAGAGAGUUAUGGAUUAUUUUGUUAUAGGGUUUGCUUAGAAGGGUGUAGCAAACCUUACUGUUUUGUGAAAUUAAAAUAAAAAUGAAAAAGUGUUCAAAUGCAAGGAGAAUAAAGAACAAUGUAGCUUAUUUCAUCCGACUUCAUCUUAUCACAUUAUUAAGUACUCUGAGUAUCUAUCUCAUUACUCAACUUUUAGUUCCUUGAUACUCAAAAUUUCUUUUAAGAAAAAAAAUUCUUGCAGGGUCAUCAUAUAUAUCAACUAGUUGUGAUCGAAAAACAUAAACCGCUAUUAUUACGAAAUGUAAAAGGCUGCUAGAACUUAAAUUGCCGAAAACUAAAGUUAUUGGAUGAAAGCAAUUACCUUGAUGGAAUAAAUAUUGGAAAAGAUACACAUUGUAAGGCCUUUUUCCAAAGACUUAAUUUGGACAAUUUAGUCUCAGUGAAUAAUAGAAUCAAUGGCCAGUGUUAAUUUUCGCGAUAAGUAUAAAGUGUACGUAUUCAUUCCUCUAUCAUAUUUUUGACUUCUUUGAAUAAAAGAGUAAAAUGCAGUAAAACCAAAAGCUCCUAAAAUAUAUACUUUGAAAGACUGAUCAAUGGUCCAUCAUCCUUUAAUAUUCCUACUCGUAAUUCGGUUUUAUUAUUAUACACCCACACGCAUUAUUUUUUAUAUGGUACGUAUGUGAGCAUAUAUACAUUUGUAUAUAAAUAUAAAAUAAUUUCUUCCUAAAUAUGGCAUAUUUUAAUCUAAAAAAAUGUGCAUGAUCACUGCCGUAGUUUGUAGGGCACAAAUUGUGCAUGCAUGGUACGUAUAGACCCAAGCGUCAUUUACGAAUAAGCAUGGUAAUCCAUUUUUAUCACUUUUAUGUAGGAAAAUCUGUUAAAAAGUUACUGAUGAAUGCUAUCAUAAUAUAAACUAGAAAAAGAAAAGCAUAGUCAAAGCGAAAAUUAAUGGUUUUAAUUAGAUAAUCUUGUAAGAGCUUGUACGAUGCAUUCUCAUAAACGUAAACUUCAACAGUCAUAGUAAUCAUGAACGCUACAAAAUAGUUGAAAAAGUAACACAGUAAAAAUACAGAUUUUUUUAAAAAAAAAAAAAAGAAAUACAGACUAUAUACGACGUUUAAACCUCAAUUCCAAUCACUCUCUCCACUUCCUGUUUGUCACUUGUCCUCCAUUUCACAUUUUUUUGUCUCCUUUACCAUAUGAGGACUAGUCCAGUUUCUGAAAAAUUAUAUCAACAUUCGUUUUCAGAACAUUAAAAAUCCAUCUUGGCCUUGAGAUUAUACUCUCAUUUCUGUUCUUAUGCUUUGUGUUUCCAUAAAGCUAGACGGUGUUAUAACAACUCCAUAAAGCUAGAUUUUGGAAUUUGGGCCUCGAAGAAUUCUUGAUCAUAAGGAGGAUAAAAAUGCAACAAAAUUAUACAGCUGCUGAAGCAAUUAACGGGCAAAUGGUGUUAGUAGUCGAACGGAAGGAUCAAAUUGAAAGUCUGAGAGAUAAGUCGGGUUGGGGAUUGAUCAUGGUUAUUGCUAAUUUGCUAUACGUCUUAUGCUGGAUAUCUUUAAAAUUAUAGGACAUGAAUGAGACAACAUAUGUCAUAUCUUGAGACAUAAAUAAGAAGUUUUUCUUCUAUUGUCCAUUGCACAUUAGCAAUUCUCUUAUACAUAAGGAGGAGCGCUAGCUUAAUAUAAUUUUAUUUAAACGCAAAUUCUUAAAGCACUAGUAGUAUUCUUGCUUGAUUCUAGGCCUCUGGACCUGUUUCACAUUGCACCACAACUCCCGAUAAGGUAUUGUUGGUGGCAUACCGGGCACACGAGCACAUAACCUGAGAGACCAUAAGCAUAAAAUGCUCCUUUCUGAUCACCAGUUGCCAGUGCUUUCUGCUUUUCAAUUUCUUCACUCAGCUUGAGAUUUUCCUCAAUGAGAUUUUUGCACACCUGUUUCAGCCUUUCACAUUCAGACACAUUCUUCUUGGACUUGGUCCUUCAUCACAAGAUUUGAGUUUUGUUAUGAUUCGAGUAGGAGCAUACAUGCAAUCAGAAGAAAAAAAAAAGGUUAUGAAUAAUUACGUACCUAGCCCUGCGAUUCUGAAACCAAAUAUCAACUUGUCGAGGGAACAAGCCUAACCUGUCAGCUAGCUCGUUCUUUAGAGCCUGCCAAAUUUCAAUCAGUUUCCUGUCCUUAUAACAUGUAAAACAUCAACAUUUAUUAAUAUGAAAUCAUUUUUCAUCUUCUAAUGAUGUGAUCCCAUAUCCAAUCAAAUUGUUUUAGCUUAACGAAUUUCGUACCACUACUAAGAAAAUAUUUUUUGAUGGAAUGACAUAAAGAUAAAAGCAUUUUAACGUUAUGACUAUAACUACCUAACACAAAGUUCAAUCCAGUGGAUACAAUAAUAUAAAAAUCGAGAAAUGAAGAUGAAAAAAUCAUUACUGUAUCCGGAUUCGGAUGGUCAUUGAAAUUAGCCUCAAGGACAGCAGCUUGCUCUUUAGAGAGCCUUGACUUUUUGGCAUUUUCAUCACUACUCUCCUGGCCCUGGACCUGCUGAGCUCCAAGGGAGAGCUCCAAAGAGAGAACCCUCUUGGUGUUCUUACGGGGACCCCUCUUGGUGUUCUUACGGGGACCAAGCGCUAGAGAAAGCUGAGUGUUUGAGUUUUCACGAGCUUCCAUGGUUUCACUCGAAAGCGAAAGAGAUAUAGGAAAUUGGGAUGGAAAAUACUGACAGCAGGAAGAGGAUAUAUAUAGGCCGAGUGGAAAAACUUCCCGGGCUGAUAUAUUUAUUGGUUGUAAUCACAUGAAAGUUGCAUACAAUUAAUAAUAGAGAUAUGAUAAAGAUUUAAAAUAUGAAAAAAGGACAAAAGCAAUGAUAUGCAAUAAUCUCCUCAGAAGGAAAUUCAAUAAAUUCCACCUGCCAUAUUUACUAUUAUAUAUUUGACUUGUUAGUGCAGUUUUGACAAGAAACAAUGGCAUUUGGCACUUUCAUGUAUGAAAAAUAAUUCCCCAUUAUUAUUUGGUUUGGAUGCUGGCAACCCCCGAACUGUUGAAAUCUAAAGAUAAGCCUCAAAAAAAAAAAAAAAAAGAUAAGGUUGAACGGAAGAGAGGUUUCAAUUUUCGAAAUUCAUUUUCUCUAUGAGAAUGUGAAUUACCAGGACUAAUGCGUACCCCCAAGAAAAAUACACGGUUUUAAGAAUUGGUUUUGGAUAUUUUUUGUAGUCCAAACUAUUUAAAGAUUAGAUAAAUAAUUUGUAUGUGGUUUCUUCUAAAUUCAUAUACGUACAUAGUGCACCCGUCCGAUCUAUUGGUGGUUUAGUCUCCAUCGGUUUCUCUAAACUCUGUUGGGUCUCUUUUCUCCCAAUGGAGACUAGAGUAGAAAUAGAAGUAAGAGUAUUUUAGACUAGUUGUUGCUUGUCUGAUAAAAUACAAAAAGAUAAAUAGUUUAUAUGAGGUUAAUCAACGAGUAUCUUCCAAUUAUUCUUUUUUUUUUUCUCUUUCCGAAUGAGGGUUUUGCAUACGCUAUCAAGGUCGACGUAAUCAUUAGUCAAGCAAAAAGUAAAACAAAAUAAAAAAAAAGGUUUUCUGGUUUUGACACAAAGAUCCUUAGCAGGGCAGACAGUGUAAGUGUUAUCUAUAUUCUUUUGAUAGAAAAGACGGUACAAAUGUGAUUGAAGACACAACUGAUCAUUUACGUGAAUGAACUCACUCGUUGGUAAUUUAAAACAACUUGAAUAGAAAUAGACACACACACACACACUACUGCAUUAAAACAAAGAGAACACACACUAGUAGUCCAGCGUUUAUUUUGUUAAACAUAAUAAAAUAUUUCAUCUUAAGUCUAUAAAUUAGUUAAAGAACAGUAGGUUGGUCUUGAUUGACUCGAUGAUUAGGGAACGAGAGGGGUCAUCAUAAUUGCGCAAUUAAAGAAGUUCCUGUUACAAAAACCUGUAAUUUAUAGUUGACAUUGAUGGUCGCAAAGGUUCCCCUAGAAUGCUUUAGCUUUGAUGGGCUGUUACUCUACGAGUAUGGCUCGAAACACCACUCGUGCUAUGAAAACAGUGGAAUGACGUCUCGUUGAUAAAUCUGUCACUGUCCUAAUCCAUUAUCCACACCCGUCAGUUUUGUCUUACCGCUCUUUAGCACGCCUUGUUAAAAUAUCACAAAGGCUUUUAGCAUUUUUGAAUUAAUUCCAAACUACCCACUUUGUUAUGUUCUCCCGUUGUUAAUUCUUGAUCAGUUGUAGUAGCAGCAUAUUUUGCUUCUUGCUUGCCCUUUUUUUUUUUUUGGCCCCUCCUUUGGUUGAAACUUGAAAGACAAUUAUUUAUUUGAACAUUGAUCUCAUCAAAGAGUUUUCUUCUGCGACAUGGUUUUCCUAGAUAUGCUUGCUAGCUUAAUUUGUACUACUACUAAAUUUUCAGUUCGUUAUGAAGGAAAACUGGGUUUUACUAGAAUUCUCUUAUCAUUAUUGUGAUUCCUUAAAAAAGUGAAGUUAUGUAGCAGUAAGUCGUAAUGUACAAGAAUUACAUAAUGCCAAGACUAAUUAGUUUGUCUCCCAUGAUCAUGAAAUUAACGGCAUAUAUUUGUUUUCUUUGUCAUAGUGGGGAAUCCGGCAAGACAAGUAGUAUAGUGUUCAAAUCUGGAUAUAGUUUCUAUAAAUAAGGGUCGUUCUUGUUUUACCUAAAUUAGAUUAGCUUCACUGUAUACUGUGUGUGGCCUUCAGAAUAAAAUGAUCGAGAAUAUUUAGGAAAAGAGUAUUAGAAGGAUGGAAUCCAAGAACAAAAAAUGUUUUAACUACUCGCUGCACAUGGAACUAGAAUCCUUUUACUCAACUAGAGGAUAAAACUGUUAAUAUUUUACACUACUAGUCGUAAUUUGAAUUUAAAUUUUAAAUUUGAUACAUUUAACAUGUAUCCACUGUUAUGCUUUAAAAAUAUGUAAUUUUGUAGCCAUUUGAUUCUCAAACUUCCUUGUCCUCCCCGCUUCUUCCUUUCUCUCCUCCUCUGCCUAUAAAAACUGUAAAUUAAAAAAUAAAACAAAAGGAACACAUGGACUGGCAUGCAAUUAUUAGCUAGGUGCGAAUUACUAAUUAAAAACCUUGUUAAAAAAAAAAAAAUGUACUCUUAUGUUUUAUUGGGUACUAUAUUUUAGCAAAAGACCUUAAGUCACAGAAUGAAGGCGGAGUACCUCUAUUAAUGAAAGAAAUCUUUGAGUUUCAAUCAAAUUCAGCAAAGCCCUCGAACCUCUGCACUUACUAUGAAGUACGAAGACAGAUUGAGGUGCAUCUUCCGUUGUCGUUGUUGCACAGCUCAAUGCAGUUCCCGAAGUCGUAACUCUGACAAUUGUCACUUUUGUAGCAAAGAAUCACCCACGAACCAAACACCAAAAUGACUAGAAACACAACAAACAUAAACAAGCAGAACAUAGAAAUAAUAUUUCGCCUUUCGUGUUUCUCUUUCAGAAAAGGUGGCACUGGUCGACUACCAACUCCGGCAAGAUCCAGUUCUCUUUCGUGCGUUAGUCGAUCAUACUUCCGAGUCAAUUUUAUCAAAAUUGAUAGAUUAAGUAAGCCCGCAAUUACAGAGAGGGAAAUGGGGAGCCAACGGUAUUGGCAUUUGAGGGGUGAGGGAUUACCAAAGAUGGAUGUGAAAAUGACACCUUGGAAGACCAAGUAGUAAUUUGAAAGCUGAAAAAUGUCCUUCAAUGUUUGUCGAAUUUCCUUCUCUCCUCUCUCCAUUCUCUUUUUCUCUUCGGAUCUUGAAUCUUCAUUUGCAGGAUUGGCCCCUGCCUCGGCAGCAGACAAUUGCGAGACAGAAGAGAAUGGAGAGAGUUGAAGCCCAUCAGGGACAGAAUAGCCUCCUCCUCCUUCCAUGGCUAAUGAUUCAAUCAGUGAUUUGUUUUUGAGAAGCAAAAAUCUUUAUGUCACUCACUCUACUUCACUAGUGCUUCUGCAUGUGACAGACUAUACACUAAAUGACUUAAUGGCAUUAUCAUGUUAAAGGUUACAGUAUUCUGAUGAAUAUUGUUCAUAAAUUAUGAUAAAAGUUGUACGAGGGUCAAAUUGAAAACACCAUUUGGACAGUGGAAGACAAAUAACGACUACGAUAAAAAAUGCACCCAAUUAACUUGAACCAUUCUACAAGAUGCCCAUAUUUUUGUCACGUUGUCAAUUUUCAUAUUCUGUCGUUUUCUGAUUACCUGUCCCUCUAUAGUGGCUGCCUAUAAUCAUAGGCUAAUUGAUUAGAUAGUAAAAUAAUUAAAUAAAUAAAAGAUCCCUACUAGAAGCACUGUCGAAGAUAACCACCAUCCUUUGGUUGGUGGUCACCAGUCAUUUAAGACUUGAUGGGGUGUGAAAUCUUGUCUCCCAUUAAUUGUCGCAUUAAAUGGUUUUCUAAAAAAUUCAGACGGGUCCGGUGGUGGUUCAGGCCCCACCGACUCUCCUUAGACUCAGUUGAAUAUCUCCCUUAAAUUAAGAUAGUGUAGGAUACUAUAGAUAAAAAAUGACGAUUGACAAAAAAAAAAAAAAAAAAAACACUGUCGAAGGCGACAGGGUGACGGACUGGAAAUUUGGCAGGGCUUUUGGAUUCCCGGUAGGUCGAAUGUUAUGCAUUAUCGUUAAUUAAUUUUGAGAAACAUAUAAAACGUACAUGAAUAAGAUCAUUUCUUAGUUGGCCCGGUUGGCUGCAUAUUUAAACAUAUGAAACAAUGAAUUCCUUCAGGGAAAAAAAAUAAAAUGGAAAUCAAUGCAAUUCAUUUCUUAUUUACUCACCUAGAUGUAAUGUUGAAUUAUUUACUUUCUACGAAUUUUAAUCUGUCAACAGUGUCUGCGUGUGUGUGUCUAAGGGAUUAAGGGUCUUUACAAUUAUCAAUAGCAAUUGCAUGGUGCCUUACAAACACUAUUAGAACAAAUUUAGCAUAAAAAUAACAAAAAUGGACAUUAACAUAGUAUACAAUAACAGUAAAAGUACAAUAAAAUUUCUCUAUCAUUGAAAUUUGUUGUGUUCUUACAUAUUGUUAUGUUAAUAUCUAAUUUCAUUGUUCUAAUAGUUAUAUUUACUGCCCUGGUGCUUAUGUUGUACGGUGCAAUUGUCACUGGUAAUGCAGAUGCUCCUAAUCCAUGUCUAAGGGUGCACUUACCAGUUACCAUUCCCAACAUCAUAAGGCCUCAAAAAUCAAAAUUGGACACGAGGAACACGAGAGCUGUUCCAUUUUUUUUUUGGGGGCUUUUCUCAUGUGUAUUUGACAAUUUAUUGGCUGUUGUGUAAGGUGAGAAUUGUGGCCAUCUAGAGCUUGCAAAAAGAAUAACAAUGAGACAAGAGAUCGUCAAAAGUUAUGCACUUUAGGUACAAAUCAUAUUAGACGUCUUCCACAACACAAAUACUUAUUCUUGCUUAAAGCCAUAAAAAUAUUGAUGUUGCAAUAUUAAUGUAGUACGCAAACAAGUACUCUUUGUUAUGCAUACCUUAGUAUUUUAAACCGAUUUCAAGCAUUGAGAAUAUGAAAUUAGCUCAUAAUUUCUUUCUACUCAUUUAUUCUUUUUAGUUCGCCCCCGGGGGUUAGUGCGACCGGUCCAAUAGCCUCCUCUUCAGGAGCAAGGUCCCGUGUUCGACUCUCUCCCCGUACCGCCCUGGAAUCCUUGGGGCAGGCUCUUCCAGCCUGGGGGGAUUAGUCUGGUCAAUUGACUAGGAUACCCCCCAGUCGACAAAAAAAAAAAAUUUAUUCUUUUUAGUUCAUUUGUCAUUUGUCAUUAUACCGUAUAGUCGAGAGAUGCAAAACAUACUAGUUGGUGCAAGAUUGGAUUCCAAUUUUCUAUUAAAAAAUUUGUUACGUAAUAACACAUUUUCUUUUUCUUUUUCUUUUUACCCCACAUACAUUAGAUUGUUACAUUAGAUUUUUCUAUAAGAAAAAAAUCCAAAAAUAACAAUUCAAAAACGGGACCUAAGUUUUUCAUGUGCAAUUAGUAAUGUAAUCACAUAUAGCACACUUAGAUCUUUGCAACUAAAAUGCUGAUAUCCUAGGAUUAAUCAUACUAGUAAUUUUUUUUUUUUUUUUGUCAGUGAUCAUGUGUGGUAACCUGAAUCACCAGACUAAUCCACACGUGUCCCACACCAACUUGCCCAAGCCGUGUGGGUUAUUUCACCAGGGAUUCGAUCUUUUACAAUGAUACUCACCUAACUAGACUACUACCACCCGAUCAAAGCCCCGGGGCGAUUAAUCAUACUAGUAUAACUUUUCUCAGUUUCACUAAGUUGUGUUCCUUCUGAUGUGAAAUACCCCUACCCAAUCUGAGAUCUCAAUGAUGCAUGCCAAAGUUGGCAUAUUACCCACUUGCAAUUGCCCAUACCCAGAAUCACGGAAGCCCACAGUGGCCCAAAGGUCCGCUGACCGUUUGUCCACUUGGCAAAGAAAAAGUGCAAAAGAUCUUUCCUCCUCCUUAAAUUCCAAGUCCAAAAUAAAAAUCGAAAAAGGAAACGGAUAAUGUAAAACUCCAGAUAUUUCUUUCAAUUUUCAUGUGCGAGUGCCAUCCCGUGAAAAUAUCAAAUCUGGGUACAACAUCCCCUCCACGCUGUACAAUAUCAGUUGCCGAACCUCCAUAAAUAUCAAUUCUAGGUGACGUUUGUUUUGGAUUCCAUCUGUUUUGCUGUGAUAACACACUUUUAAGAUAUUUAAUGAGCAUCAUCAUUAUCUAAAUUUAGGAGAAGAGAUUUUCUAUCUCAAAAUUUAUUUCUAAGACAAGCUCAAAGUUGCUGCUUAUAUAGCAACUUUACGUUUCAAAAAUACCAAGCAAAGUUUGAUCAUUUAAUUCCGAGCUGAAUGUAUGCAUAAAUAUAUGCCAAGAAUUUUUAAAUUACGUAUUAUCAAAUACAAUCGAUAAUUAAAAAAAAAUACAAAAGAUGAUCAGGCUGAUAUGUGCAACCUGAUAAACUAAGCUAUUUACAAAGUGAAGUCAUCAAUAGCUUAAGGCUUAAUGUGUUACAAAAGACAAAAACUUUUAUGGGAAUGUAUUACUUGUUUUAAAAAAUUACUUGUAUGGAAAUGCAUUAUUUGAUUGCAUCAUUUGUUUAAAAAGAUUAUGUGACUGCACUGUGAACGCAUUUUCAAUCAGUUAUUUAUCUUUUCAAUCAAAUUUUUUUUUAUCUCACAUUACAUUAUGUUAAGAGUGUGUUAAUCCGAAAAACUCGAUCAUAUGCGGAUGAAUCACAUCCAGAUCAAGAAAUUAUGCAGAUCAGAUUCAGAUAUCACUUUUUUGUGAUCCAGCAAAUAUUCGAUCCGAUUUGCAUAGUAUUUUUUUUAUACAUUAAAUCCACUAAUUUAUAAUAGUUUUAUCUCUUGUUUCUUAUUUUUAUAUCCAUGUCUUCUUUUAAAAUAGACUUUCUUUACAUAUGGUGUUAAGAUUUUAAACAUAUUAUCAUAUAAUUUGUGAAUAAAAAAUUAUUGAUGAAAUAUUGAGCCUUAUUUGUUUGAAUCAAAAUGAGAAAAAAAAUACAAAAGUUGCUUUAUAUUGUAACCAAAAAAUUUAAUUUUGACUAAAAAAUCUUUUCUUAUGACUAAAAAUUCAUGUGUAAGUAGAACAAAUCACUUACAUGAUAUUUUUGAAACUUUAAUACAUUUAAUUUUCAUUUUAUCAAUUAUUAUAUAAGUAAUACCUAUGCUAAUUGUUAUUAUUUUUCAUCCAUUUACACGGAAAGAAAAAAAGAAAAAAGAAGGCCAGAUUUUUUGUUUUUUCUUUUUGGGGCCAAAGCCAAACUUCCUAUCGAGAAGACAGCAGGCGGUGGCAGCACGCACGCUUGUUGUUCCCACACCACCUACGUGAAUUAAGACCGGCAAUUAAACCAACCGUAGACUCAGCGCCCAAUUCACACCGAAUUUCUGCUCCGAUUUUGCCACUCUUCUGUGGAUCGGUCUUUUCUUUUGUUUUCUACCCUUGCUAAUAUUUGCCCCAUCUUCCCUACCACUCAUUCAUUUUCCUCAACCCACAUAACAGAAGCCCCUCUCCCAAACCCCCUCACCAGAAACAAACCCAACCCUAAAUAACUCGAACUCUCCCAACUCAAUUCACCCUUAUUUCUCACCCCUUUUGAACCCUUCAAGCAAUCAUUACUGGUAAUUGUUGAUAUCAUCAGUAUUAUGGGUUGAUGAUGGAGUGGGACAGUAAUUCUGAUGCAAGUGGAGAUGAUGAAUUUGUGGAAUACGAGGAGGAGGAGGAAGAUGAAGUAGAGGUUGGAUUUGGGUCGAAUGGUUUUUUGUUCAGCGGUGGUGGAAAUGGUGGUAGUGGCCCUUUGCCGUUUCCUGUGGACUCAUUGCUCCAGCCUGCCCCUUGUGGCUUUGUGGUUACUGAUGCUUUAGAGCCCGACCACCCCAUUAUUUAUGUCAAUUCUGUGUUCGAGAUGGUCACCGGUUACCGGGCCGAAGAGGUCCUCGGCCGCAACUGGUCAGUUCCCACUUCUCCUCAUUCUUUGCAAUUUCCUCCUUUUUUGUGGUUUGCUGUGGUUAUUCUUAUUUGGGUUUUCUUGAAAUGCUUUCGGAACUUGUGUCUUCUGAUUUUCCAUGUUGAUUUCUCGUGGUUUGGAGAAUUUGGAGGGAAAAUAUGGUAAAAAGGAAGAAAAUUUGUUAUUGUUUACCGAAUCAUGAAAAAAUUUGGGGGUUAGAGUUCGAGGAGAAUUGUCAGCUUAUAUAUAGCUUUAAUUGGGACAUUUCCUUGUUAAUUUUGCAUAAUUUUGCUGUUCUAAUGUAAUUAUGUUCUUUGUUUCAGUUUUGGGCUUUUUUGCUGUUAACCUAGUUAGAGUUACUUAUUAUUGCGAAGUUCCUUGCUUUUUGGGAUGUCAUUUGCUAUAGGACAAGGUCAAAUGUACCUUACUUCGAAUAAAACAAAUUCUGAUUAUUUUGCUUGCUUAGCUAUCGGUUUGUGGUUGAUUUUUUUUCGGUCGUAGCUUAUUCUUCAUGAUUUAUGAAAUGGCUAGUAUUGAGGAAACAGUUACAAUGUUUAAAAGGGGAAACCCUGCUUAUGUUUAAGAAGGGAAGUCUUGAUUGACAUAUUCCAUUACCUAAAAGAGAUAUAGCUAGUUCCUGCAAAGUGAUGAUAUUUUGUGUUCUUCAUUUUGUAUACUACACAGAAUGAUUAGGUCAAAGGAAAUAUAUGUUAUCUCCUCAGUCCAUGAGUUGACAGCAGGAAGGAAUCUGGUGAUUUGUAGCCAAAUUGGGUUACUAGAAUUUUGCCCAUCACUGCAGAGAUGCAUUAUCGAAAAAAUCCUACAGUUAGUUAGGAGAAGUAUGGUUUCUAGUCUUCAUCAUAACUUAUUAUUAUCAAUGUUAGACUGGAACUAUUAUGGCUGAAUUUGUAUAGGGGCUUCAACUUUUAGACGGGAAAAAAUUUAGAUGUUAAUCUGUGAAUGAUAUAUAGUUCUUACCACUGUUUCUAUUGUUACGCAUUACUUCAUUCUUUGUGCAUCCUGCAAGAGAGGUAAAUUUUGUAGCAAUACUUUUCCAUUCUCAGAUGUUUGAAAAAUGAGUUCUGCAUGUAAUUUUUGGGGAAUGACUAGAUCCCAAGGGCAAGAAAAUAAUAAAUUAGUGUAAACAGCUUUCAAGAGGCUAAAAAUGGCUGAGAGUGUUUGAAAACCUCACCGAGGAUGGAUUUUACCGAGCUGUUCUACCUUGUAAGUCAAAUGAUUUUAGCGAUGGGCUGUAAAAUAGGGAAAAUGCUUCUUCCACACUCUGAGGUCUGAAAACCUUGGGCUCUGACUUCUUUCAUGUAGCAUUUUUAGAUUCUGUGCUUGAGGGAUGGAUGAAAAGCUGUGCUGGAGGCCUUUGUCUAUGUUGUUCAGCUGUUCAAAGUAUAGUUGGGAAAGACUUAGAUUUAGAGGUCUUGCCAGGUAGAACUCUGAAAUGAAGUGGAGAGAGAGCACUCCUUUGCAGUAGGUCAUGUAUGGUUCACUGUGGUUGAUGGGGCUUUGAUAUUGUGAUGUAAAAUGUCCAUAUAGUAACAACUAGCAUGCUACUUUACAAGUUAUAUGGUGAUCAAGGGGUCUUGGUUGGCCUGUAUUUUUUUCUUUUCAACUUUUAUCUUCUAUAUGCUUGACUCCUCAAUUGUUGGUGUCAGAUUUUUCUUGACUAUCUGUUAAGGAAGAUAUUGAACCAUUUAGUUAGUCAGAAGAGGAAAGAAAUCAUGGUUAUGUUAUUUGGUUAUGUAGAAGUGUAUUGUUGUUGCUGGAUAGUCAGUAGAUGUUGCUACUACUCCUUGAUUUUACGACCCGUCAACUGGAUUGGAAUCAGUUUGUCUUGGUUGUUCUAUUAGCUCAUACUCAUCCUAGAUCUGAUGAAGAUUUUUUUAGCCAUUUAAAGAUAUGUGCUAGAGUUGGUUUUAGAAGCAAAAAGUGAUGAAACUUGGGUAAUGGAGUUCUGUUUAUAAGGUUGAGGUUUUGCAUGAGCAAGACCCUCAGUACUUUGACUUUGACUCUGGAAAUGUUUUGGGCACAAGCCAGGGAAGGAGGACAUAAGAAACUUCGGCAUGUUCUCAAGCAAUAUGAAAUAACCUUCUCCGAAUGGCUAGGGAAAAAGUGAACGGGAUAAAAAACCUAGACCUGGACAAGAAGUAUGUCAUAACAGUUGGUUGUCUUGUACAUUAUAUUUGUCUUUUCUGCGGAGUCAUAUCCAAGUAAUUUAAAUGUAAAAUUGUCCAUACACACCAAAGUACUGGAUUGCUAUAAACUCAAUCUAUUCAGACGAAAAAAGGUGUGUACUUGUUUAUUUGGAAUCUGUACUCAUCCAAGCGAGCUGAGGGACAAAAGAUUGGUUUCUGGCAAUUUAAACAUUAUGGUAAAUUGUUUCAAGGUGGCUUGGAGUUCUAAAUUUACUUUUCUACCAGUUUUAUAUGGACUGACAUUACAACAUUUUUUCUCUACACAAGUAUAGUUAGAUGCAUGCCAUGUGUACAUGAGGAAUUUCUCCAAAUCUUCAUAUGGACUAUGGGCAUGCAUCUGCACCCUCGUGUAAAAAAUUUUUACACUGUCAGUCAUAUAGGAUUAAUCUCUAUGCUCAUGUGCAUUCAGAUAUUGUCACUUCGAUGUAGAUUCAACUUAGUUCUUUAUACUUUUGUCUUCAUAUUGUUACCAAGGAAACUGGUUUAGGAACUGUGUAAAGGUUGAUUACUGUGGUUGUAAAUUAGGAAUAGAUGCCUAAUAAUAAUUGAUUUGUUUUUAAAGGCAAUGUUGAAUAAUUGAUUGUUUGAUGCCUGGAGACUGGAUUUCUUCCGCUGCUACUAAUUGAUGGUGAAAUAUGAUGAGUUGGGUUAAUUAAUUUGUGGUCUACUUCAUAUCUUUUAUUGUCUGCACAAUGUAGGAUAAUAUCCGUCUGCUACUUUAUGCUAUCUGUUCAUAUUUUGUCAUUUAACUAUUAACAUCGGUGGUUAUUGAUAUUUACUAUUUGCAUUUCAUUUGGAUGUAAAUUGUAUUUUUGUUAUCUUAAUAUCAUCUUACAACUACUCAAAUGUGAAGAAUAUAACUUUCAUUGCAUAUGAAGGUCUUGACUUACUGUUGGGUGUGAAGUCUGCUAUUUUGCUUGAAUCCUUAAUAUGUUCCCCUGUGUUGCAGUUAAUGGCAAUUUGAGUAGGAAGAAAGUAAUGUCUGAUGCCCUUCCUUGUGCAUUAGAGUACUUGAGUGCGCUCGAUGUUAUUCUUUAUAUUCACUAGAAAUUUGAUGUUUCAUUCUUUGCCAGUCUUCUCUCUCCUACUCCUCUCUCUCCCUCUCUCUCUCUCUCUCUCUCUUUAAUUUUUUUUUGGGGGGGGGAGGGUGGUGGGAGAAUGGAGUGUUAAAGGGGAACUGGGGGGGUUGUUCACCCUUUUUAGCUCCUCACAAGUUUUUCCUUUUAUGCCUGAUUUUUUCACAACAUGCUUGCUCUGACUACUAUCUUUUCCAGUGAUAAAGUUCCAACUGUCACAGAAGUCUCUUUUGGGAUUUUAUUGCUCGUUUACUAUUUGACAUUGUUAUCUCUCACCUUUUUGCUUAUCCAAAGGGUUUCUAUUGUAUUCUGUGACAUGCAAUAGUUACCACGUCCCUUACUGUCAUUGGCUUUCCUGCAGUCGUUUCUUGCAAUGCAGAGGCCCUUUCGCUAAGCGAAGGCAUCCGCUGGUGGAUUCUAGUGUUGUUGCUGAUAUUAGAAGAUGCCUUGAGGAAGGAGUUGAGUUUCAAGGGGAAUUGUUAAAUUUUAGGAAAGAUGGAUCUCCCUUGAUGAAUAGAUUGCGUAUGACACCAAUAUAUGGAGAUGAUGAGGCAAUAACACAUAUUAUUGGUAUACAGUUCUUUACAGAAGUAAAUCUUGAUCUGGGUCCACUUCCUGGAUCAGUAAGGGAGUCUGCAAGAUCAUGCGAUAAAUUCCGCUCUAGCCUUUCUACUUUUGGACCAGUUUCAGAUGGGAAAUACAAUAUAAAUCGAGGGCUGUGUGGGAUUUUUCAGUUGAGCGAUGAAGUUAUAUCUCUCAAAAUUCUUGCACGGUUAACUCCAAGAGAUAUUGCAUCUGUUGGCUCUGUCUGUAUGAGGUUUUAUGAGUUGACAAAGAAUGAAGAUCUUUGGCGAAGGGUCUGUCAAAAUGCAUGGGGCAGUGAAACAACUCGAUUGUUGGAGGCAGUACCUGGGGCUAAGCGACUUGGAUGGGGUAGAUUGGCAAGGGAACUUACCACUCUUGAAGCAGCAGCCUGGAGGAAACUAACUGUUAAAGGUGCAGUUGAACCUUCUCGUUGUAACUUCAGUGCAUGUGCAGUUGGGAACCGUGUGGUUCUUUUUGGUGGAGAAGGGGUUAACAUGCAACCUAUGAACGAUACUUUUGUCUUGGAUUUGAAUUCAAGCAGCCCCGAGUGGCAACAUGUGAAAGUAAGCUCUCCGCCUCCUGGACGCUGGGGUCACACGCUUUCUUGUGUGAAUGGAUCUCAUCUAGUUCUUUUUGGGGGCUGUGGGACUCAGGGUUUGCUUAAUGAUGUAUUUGUGUUGGAUUUGGACGCCAAGCAUCUGACAUGGCGUGAGAUAUCCAGUUUAGCUCCUCCCCUGCCAAGGUCUUGGCAUAGCUCCUGCACUCUUGAUGGGACCAAGUUGAUAGUGUCUGGUGGUUGUGCAGAUUCUGGAGUACUCCUGAGUGACACUUUUCUCCUUGAUCUCUCAAUGGAGAAGCCUAUCUGGCGAGAGAUACCAGUCACAUGGACUCCACCAUCUCGUUUGGGCCAUACUCUCUCUGUUUAUGGUGGGAGGAAAAUUUUGAUGUUUGGGGGUCUUGCCAAAAGUGGUCCUUUGCGUUUUAGAUCAAGUGAUGUGUUCACCAUGGAUUUGAGUGAGGACGAACCAUGUUGGAGAUGUGUAACAGGCAGUGGGAUGCCUGGUGCUGGAAAUCCUGGUGGAAUUGCUCCGCCUCCAAGACUUGAUCACGUUGCAGUGAGCCUCCCUGGGGGCAGAAUCUUGGUCUUUGGGGGUUCAGUUGCUGGUCUUCACUCAGCUUCCCAGCUCUAUAUUCUUGACCCUACAGAGGAAAAGCCUACAUGGAGGAUUCUGAAUGUACCUGGUAGACCACCUAGAUUUGCAUGGGGACAUAGUACCUGUGUUGUUGGAGGCACUAGGGCCAUAGUCCUUGGGGGUCAAACUGGGGAGGAGUGGAUGCUCGGUGAGCUUCAUGAGCUAUCAUUGGCGAGCAACAUUAACUGAUUUGGGAAAUAACGAGUGAAUAACUCAGCAGCUAUCAAACCGGAAUAUAGAAGGAGCUUUCCUAUCUCAAGAAGCAUGAUUCUUUGAGCAUCCACUUUGUAGAGGUUACUUUUCCCUUGUAGAAACACAGGCAUCUAUUGCUGUGGUACGUGAACUCUUCUGCUGUGCCCGUCUUUUGUGCAGUUUCGGUAUAUCACAAGGGAUAUUCAAAUCUGCUUGACCUGCGUUUAAUUUUGUGAGAUUUGUUUUGGUUGUUCUUCUGAAAUCAUUUCAGGUCAUCACCCUUUCUAGGCUAGAUAGAGCAAUAGGGUACUAUAUGUAGGCUUAGAGUAUCUUGUAUGCCCAUGUGUUGUUGUGAUUCAGGUUCUGUAAGUUGAAACCCAGGAAAGGAGCAUUUGAAAAAUGAUGAAAAGUGUAAACCGAAGUAUGGGGUUUGUCUAUGACAUUUGCUACACUGGGAUUUUUGCCCCUACCAUGUUUUAUAUAGCACAUUCAUGUCAUAACACCCUGAUGUAUUGGCUGUUGUGCCCAUGAACCGUUUCAUCUUUACUUUUGUGCUGUUUGAAUCAAAUUUUAACAAGAUAGUCAUAUUGCUUAUUGCCAGUGUAUGAAUUCAAUGAGCCGCUUAGUUAAUGUCCAUCAAACUUCGGGGUGGUUGGAUUUUCUAGUGUUCGGGUUAUUUUAGUUUGCGGAGUUAAAUGCCUUCUUAAACUAGUUUUCUUGUUCUUCUUUUACUAAGAGUUCGUAUCAUUUCUUUAUCAUGUAUUUUAUGUUGCAAAUUGUUAAGUGUUACUUUGUUCAUGAAUUUGUUCGAGUUGAAUAUCAGAAUUGAGAACUGAGAUAUAAUUGAGAUGCUGCUGGUGCUCCUCUUUGCCGUGGUUAGCCAAAUCUGGUGCCCAGAUCUUACAAAAGAAAAUUGUGGACAGAACAGACUUGAGUAGCUGCGUAGCCAGUGGAAUAGAAUCUUUUGGGUUUUCAUGAUCAGUACUUGCCUUUUGCACUGAUAUGAUAUACUGCCCUAAUAGCCCUGCAACGUGAAAAUUCUAGACGAAUUGCAUAUGCACUCAUUUCUGGACGAAUUCUGCUUACGGUGAGUUUCUAUAUUGGGCAGGAGUUUAGCUAAUCAAUUACGUAGGCUUUUGUUGAAAUUUAGGAAGCAUGUUGUAAUGUAUCUAUCCUAGCAACAUUUCUGCCAGAUCAAAAUCACCGAACUGCCUCUUUCAACUCAGCUGGAUGCGCCGGUUAUACUGUUAUAACAUCAGCGGAUAUGAUUACCAAAAAUCAGUUUUUGGCAAAACUGCAGCAGAGCCUAAAAAAGGAAGAAAACUGGAUUGAGAUUUCACCAUCAAGUAUUUUCCUUCUCAGAAGCGCAAAACAGGAUUUAAGAUCAACAGAGAUUGAUCUUCAUUGAUUGAAAUUAGGGGACAAAUGAAUUUGAAUGGAGGAGUCGAAAUCUAAGUUCGGUUUUAGUGGAAUUACAAUUCUUAAAAGAUUAGAAAAUUAUUACAUCCAAACAGCGGAUUUGAAAUCCAUGUCCUCCCGAAUUCUCCAACCCAAAACACAACCCACUGUCUGGAGUCUCUAGACAGGGAAUGCAACACUUUUUUUUUUUCUUUCAGUUUUGAAUAUUAAAUCUAGAGUUUUGAUGCAAUGCGUCGACACGUUUGUCAUCUGAAGAUUUAUGGGGGUUUGGUUUCCAUGCAGAGUUGAUAUUCCUUUGAUCUAAUAAUCAUCUUAUCUUUGACUGGAAGUUUUAAAGAUUGCUGUAUGUCAAUGUACUGCUUUAAAAGAUAUUCCCAUUUUCAGAACGAGCAGAAGAGUCUUUCAGGAAGUAUUUUUUUUUGGGGGGGAGGGGGGGAAGAAGAAUUACAAUGCUCAUUAAACACAUACAAAGGCUAAUAAACAGAUGAGUCACAAGGAUAAAUCACUAUAAAACCAAGAAAAAAUCAUAUACUUUACAAAUAGUACAAUAAAACUGAAAUAUAAGCCCUUUUACAACUGCAUUGAGAAGGAUUCAAAGCCGCCAAGGGCGUGCACUUUCCAUGUUCAUUGCUUUAUCAGUUGGUUAAAUCUGGGAUUUGCAUAUCAUGUUGCUUCUUAAAGAUACUUCCUUCUGUCUGUACGUUGCAUCCACUUUUGAUGGUCACUGAGGUAAACGUAGUUUGAGGUGAACGCAGAAACUACGUUAAAGUUGGAACCUUAAACCUUUCUUGUUACUGCUUAUAUUAUACGAGUGCAAAGUGUAAAGAAUUAAUCCAACCACACGGUCCAAUGGAUCAUGCUCGGCUCGGUUUGGGUCUUGAUUUCAAAAUAUGAAAUAUGCUGCUGCUGCCUGAAUUUCUGAAGUCAACCCCAGAUGGAGCUGAGCUUGGAUUAGGCCGUGCCCUGGAUCCAGAAAACCUGACCUAUCUAACAUAUAGAAAGAUGCGGUUCCAGUUGCAAAGAUAAGGAAACUUGGACAUCUCAAAAUUUUACGUAUAGCUCAUGACAAUAAAAAGAAUUUGGCCAUCCCAUGAUCAUCUUAUGCACAGUUCCUCAAAGCGGGAGGAUUGCAGGUUUUGUGUUUCUUACUUCCUUACAAUUCUUACCAGAGAACCAGCAAUGCUUAUGUAAACUAAGAAAAAAGGGAGAGAAAAUACUCUUCUUCAUCCCUUUGGACUACACAAUAUACAAAUAUAUAUACACAAAUGUAACCUAAUUUAGAUCCUAAAAUCAUGCUAAUCUAAAUCAAUCUACUACCUAAUUAAUAUAUGAUACUAUAAUCAUAUGAUACCUAAUUAAUAUAUGAUACUAUAAUCAUAUAAUACUAUAAUCAAAUCUUUCCUAAUAUUUACAAUAGCAAAUAUUUCCAUAAUAUCAUAUCACAUAUCUUCAACAACUUGAAAUGGAGAAAAUAACAGCUUGUUAAAGGAAAAGAACGAUGGAAUGGAACUAUGUAUAUUUAUCAAUUUCAAUAUUCUCAACAAAGAAAUCAAUUGUUCAAGAGGCGACAGGGUAACUCAUUGCGACAUACUCGAGACCUGUUUUUGAUGCAAUAAACAGCAGAAGUCAGUUAAGGUAGAAUUUGACCGCCCUGGGCACACCAUACCAAGAGUCUCACACUACUAACUUAAUCUUAACUGUUAAUCUGAACUCUGAAACACCAGACUCGCAAUAUAAUCCUUGGAAUAGUGCAGAAAGAUAUCAGGCAACUGCUAUAUUAAUUUUUUGUCAUGCUGCAUCCUCCCUGGAUCACCAGAACGAAAAAUUUCUUGAAAUCACGACUCCACAUUUUCCCUGACCCGUAAUGCAAGUCUAUGCAAGGACUGCUCAUCACAGGAAGCGUCCCUUUCCUUAAUAUUUGAAACAAAAUCCAUGGCUUCCUUGUACUUUUUUGCUUUACAAUAACCAUCUACUAUUGUCUUGUAUGUUAACUCAUUUGGUCUGCAGUUAUGCUGGAUCAUGUAGUCUAUUAAUUCAUCUACUUGUGAGAACAGUCCUCGUCCAGCAAAGCCAGCAACAAACGUGUUGUACGUAACAAUGCAGGGACGAAUUCCCCUGGAUGUCAUUUCUGAGAAAACUCUGAUUGCCUCCUGCAUGAGACCUUGCCUGCAGAACCCCUUGAUGACAGUAUUAUAGGAAACAAGAUCAGGUUCUCCACCACUUCUUUGCAGUCCAUUGAGGAUUUCUUCAGCUUUCCAGCAAUCACCUGCUCUAGCAUACAUAUCCAUCAAGCUAUUGUAAGUAAUGAGAUCUGGCUGCAAUCCACUCUCACAGAUCAAGUGCAGCAUCUCAUGGGCACGAUCCAACAUUUUGUUCCUGGAAAAAACGGAAAGCAUUGAGUUGAACAUAACUAAGUCAGGAUUAUAUCCAUGGUUCUUGAAUUCUUGGAAUGCUCUCUCCAUACCCAUGAGAGACCUACACUUGAAAUUUGCAAGAACAAGGGUCCUCAAAAGCAUCCAACUGGGAUAGAUGCGGCCAUCGUAGAUAUCUUUUGCAAUCUUUUCUAUGCCCCUCACAUUGCCACCCUUUGAGUAGCAAUUAAGCAACAAGGAGUGUGAUGUUUCACUGGGCUUGAAGCCCUUAUUCUUCAUGUCCAAAAUUAUCUUUUCUGCUGCUCUCCAAUCACCUCUACGGGCCAGAGCAUUUAGAAGUGCAUUAUAAGUUGUAACACAUGGCAUAAAGCCUGCUUUCAUCAUCUCAUCAUACAUCGUCGAAGCAUCAACUCGUGAACCACAUCGACCGUAUGCACUAAUUAAGGUAUUGAAUGUGUCUCUAUCAGGCUCAAAGCCACAAUUCUUCAUCUCUUCGAAAACACGAUUAACAUAUUUAUGCAUUCCUUUACUACCACACAUGGCAAGCAUUGUAUUCCAAGUCACACGAUUGGGGGCACAACCAUUUAUUUUCAUAUCACAGACAAUUUCCAUCAUCUCCUCCAAUCGUGACUUCUUCCCUAGCAUCCCAAGGAUAGCAUUAUAAGUGCACACAUUAGGGACACAACCCGCUUUCUUCAUAUGUUUGAACCAAGUAAAUGCCUUGUCCUCCUUCCCAGCUUUGCCAUAGGCAUCUAUCACUGUAGUGUAAGUCACAGCAUUUGGCAUUAUCCCCUUUUCCGUCAUUGUACCAAUUAAAGCAGCUGCUUCUUCAUGGAAUCCAGCCCUCACAUAUGUUGCCACAAGUUCAUUGUAAGUUACCGAGUCUGGAAGACAUUGAUUUUCCUCCAUCUCUUUCAAAACAUUCAAAGCCUCCGGAAGAACCCCUGCCUUCCCAAACACUUGGAGAAGUGAAUUGUAACUAACUGUUCCAGGAACAAAUCCUCGUUUCUUCAGUUCAUCGAAAAACCCCUUUGCUUCCUCCAACAACCCUUCACGGCCACAUGCUGAUAUCACAGUGCUGCAAGUGAACUCAUCAAACUGAAGCCCUUCGCUCCUCAUUUCUUCAAGAAGGCCAACAAUUUCAUUCCAAGACCGGCCCUUUUUACCGUAAACAUCCAACAUCACAUUGUAGGUAACUAAAGUUGGAUAUAAGCCCUUUUCUUUCAUGUAUCCAAACAAUGCUAUAGCCUUAUCGUACUUUUCAGUACGAGAAUAUGCAUGAAGAAUUGUAGUACAUGCUCGGACAUCCAACAAAUACUCCUCAACGGGAAGUAAAUCAAACAGUUUUGAGGUGACCAAGUAUUGAGACUCCCUCCCAAGAAUCUUAACCAUUAAUUCAAUAACUUGGUUGUCCAACUUGUCCUUAGUAUCAUUCAUGACAAGCCAUUCAAACAAAAUUAUAGCUUUUUCCCAAUUGCCUAGAACAUCUAAACCUUUCAACAAACUCAUCAAAUCAACUUCCAAUAACUGAAACUUGACAGAAUCAAGGUAUUUACUCAAACUAGAAACGGGGUAUUCAAGAAUUGAAUUAAGCAUCAACUUACAGUCCAGGGGGAGAAAAUCAAGGGCCCCAUUACCACUGCCUGUCUGAAAAGCAUGCUCUUCCCUGUAUCUCUCAAUUCUUGGGAUAGCAAUUGAAUUGGCCAAACGGGUUUCUUCAAAUUCUCCAUUUUCUGAAGAAAUGAGAGCUGAAGUGAAGUGGGUUCCAUUGCUUUUGGCUGAUUUGAUGAUAGGUGGCUUAUUGUUGGAGAUAUGGAGAAGGUGUUGGAGGAGAGAAUCAAUAGGAAAAGAAGAUGAACAAGCAGUCUUUGGUUGCUGCUGUUGCUGCGGCAGCAAUUGUUGAUGUAAAGGAGGAAGGAGAGUUGAAGUAUUGAAUUUCAAGCGUUGGUUAGGCGGUUGAAUUGUUGGUUUUGUUUGUUGGAUUGGAAAUCCAGGCCUAUUGGGAAAAAGGGUCCCUUCCAUUGCAGAGAACUGGAAGGAAAAAGAGCUACGGACAGUGGAGACUAGGUGUGAGAAGGCUUUGUGAAAUGAGAAGGGAUGAUGGUGGUGGGGUUAUGGUUGCUUUGAAGUUUUUGAAGUGGUGGAAGAAUGUCAGAGGAACUUGGUAUUGUUAUCUGUUUGACGUCUUGACUUACUAAUGCCAUCUCCCCAUUUCUUGUCUGCAGAAAUUGAAACUCCAGCCAGAAAUACUUGAGUAAGUUACUCUAGAUUUUUAUUUUUUAUUUUUUGACAAUUUAUUAUUCACACUCGUGAUUCUUUUUAAUUUUUUUAAAUUUAUUUGAGUUCUUUUAAACUCAAGCUCAAUCUCGAUUAAAAUCUAACUUGAAUUCAAGGUUGAACUCAAGUUUUACAUUCAGAACUCCUCGAAUUGGAAUCUGAUUCGAUUAGGCAAAAUUUGAUUCAAUUCGGCUUUUCUAGUUGCAAAUGGACAAUAGUUGGAAGAAAUCAAGUACCUUUUUUUUUAAAGAAAAGUCAAGUAUUAUUGUUAAUUUCAGGCAAUUGAUGCCACCAAAUAAUUAUCCUUUUGAGCACUUUUUUUUUAAAAAAAAAAUUUGGACAUAUUUUUAGGUAUACAGCAUGUCCCACUGCCACUACAAGAAGCUCCGUAAAAGAGGUUUAAUCGGCUCUGGAGAUUCCAUUCCGGAGCAAAGUGACUCAUGCUUGUGCAUUGUUUGAUGUCCAUUUAACAAUCUGGGAUUUUUCUGUCAGUAUUGAAUAUUGAUGAGAAACCAGCCCACGACUUGCAGCCUCGAAUUAACGGUCCAAACACAGGCUCUUAAUCUCUAAUGAUGUUAGAAUAUUUUUCCCCUUUGUUUGUUUGUCCAGCAAGAGUUGGGCUGGAUCCUAUGGGCGAACGGGACUGCUACGAGUAGUUCUGCUAGUGGAUCAGCAUUCGCGGCACAAUCCUUCUAUAUGCUUCAUGGCAAGAUCCACAUUUAGCAAGAAGCCCAAUGUAAUUUCCUUCUAAUGUUGGUAGUUAUAAAAUUUUAAUAUUUAUGUUGUCAAAUCCAAGAAAACCGUCCAAUAGCAACUUGCAUCAUCCAAGAGAAGCUCAUUUCAGGUCAUCAAAGCAGGGUCAAGGGUUCAAGGUUGCUCGUGCAACUGUUCCUAAAGGUUUUGUGCAUUUUGCACACGGCGUAACUCUUUUUGCAUAUGGUAUAACUUAGUUUUAACGUGUAAUUCUAAAACAAAAUUUUGUGAGUCCCACACAUGUUAAAAACAAGGUACAAAAGAAGAUCUGAACCGUAUAAUUUUUUUUAAUCAAAUCUUAGCCAUGAACUGUCAGGACGGUUGCUUCCUCUUCCUCAACCGUUCCUGCCCCUCUUCCUCAAGGUGGGAGGUCAAAGGUUCAAUCCUUGCUUCCCACCAGCCACUAUGUGUGGCUUCCCCCUUCCCUUCCCUUUAGAUUAAACUAAAAUAGGUUAUACAAAUUGUUAUCGUUGCUGGCAAAAAAAGAAAAAAAAAACAGGACAACAAACUAAAAUCAAUGACCCCAACCAAGGCUCUCGGCUUGGCUUCAGCAUAUGAGUUGGCUUUUCGGGGGGUUUUAGUAUACCAAUUGACCCAAAAUUGAUUUUAGAUGAAAGGCCUCAAAACUCCAAAGUUACGUAUGUACACAUAUAUGCCUUAAAUCCUUCAAAGUGAUGGCAACAGUUUUGGAAUCUUGACCAAUUCGUAGAUAAGGAUCCUUUCCUUGUAUACAUUAAUACAUACCUCCUUCCAUUGGUCAAGGAGUCCUUUGAAGCAAAACACGCAACAACCAAGUUCAUUGUCCCAGUUGAUCAAUAACCAUCAUCUUUAUCGUUAAGUACUAUGAAAGAAAAGACCCGUAUCUACCUUUUUCCUUUUUCCUUUCUUUCUAUCAACUACUUAAGACAAUUUCCAAUUUCUGAACUAAAACGAACUAGAUGACAUCCAACUUCCAAUAGCUCGGCCAACCUCUCAAGUCUGUAUAAAUUUGUUCCUUUAUUGCAAGUUUUUUACUUUCUGGUUGAGCGUGUCGGUGGCAGCUCUCGUCGGCUUUGUUUAUCAGAGACAGAUUUACAUUCUUGUUCUUUCUUUUUCUCAAUGGGCAAAGAAUCGGCUCCUCUGGGGAGACUCUUUAUCCCUUUUAUGGUCGCUAUCGCUAAUCAAAAUUUAUUGAUGAAGUUAUUUAAGUUCACAAAACGUUGCUAUUUAUGUAAUUAGUUUGGUAAAAGAAGAUCAUGCACCUAUGGUCUAGUGAACUGGUGAGGCUCUGCCAGAAGGUAGUUAUGGCAGCCAUAUUUGGAGCUAAUUUUCAAUCUUGCCCAGCCUGAAGAAGCAAAUGAACUGCUUCCCUGCUAACUCAAGUACAUCCAACUUAGCGUGAAAAAUUGAAUGUCUAAUAUAUCCCUAUUCUUGAAAAUUUAUAGCAACUCCAUCUAGAAAUUUAAAGUUUUACUUUUGGCUAGAUGUGAAUGUGAUUUUGCUGCAUACAUAUGUAGCCGCAUUUCAUAACAAGUGUGUACGUUAGAAGUUGGACCACUGCCAAAUCUAGUUUCUUUCGAAUGUGUGUUUUUUUGGUAGUAAUCUAAAAUUAUCGUGUAGUUGUUUUAGAACAAAAAAAAAUAUUAGUAUUCGUGUAUAAUACUUUUUUUGUCCCUUUUCUCAUCACCCGUCGUCCAUCACUAUACCUACCUCCACCAUGGGUAUAUAUUUAAUUUUUUGUACUUUUUUUAAAAAUUUUAAAUAUUCUAGAGUAUAAAUGCAGAUAGUAUUUUAGAUGAAUUUUAUUUAAAAUAAAUAUGGAAAAAACCAGCUAUCCAAAUUUCGACAAAUAUUUUUAUACAAAGACAUUUUUCCGCAGCGGAAUCACACACACAAUUAGAUUAGAAACACUCGGAAGUUACGCCCGUUAAACCUAAGCAGACCCCACAGAGAACCCACGUCCAGCCAAUUGGUGACAGGACGAGACCUCCGUGGAACUUAAGUCCAGGUUGAAGAACCCACACACAAGCAAUGUGGGACAAAGGCUAUCAGUCCUCCUUUACCAUUUUUCCCCGCUUUCUGGGGCUUUUUGGGUGUGCGGGGAAGCAAGGUUGGAGCUACUCCUUGUAUGGUGGUUUAACUUUAAUAUGGAUGGUUAUAUAGUGGAGAGUGUACGGCUGUCUCCAGGAAGAGUAAAGCAAGGGUUUGGAAGGAUGUGGUGUAGAAUUGGCCACCGCAUAAGCAUUAAUGGGGAGGGCCAGACGAUGCUGUGUCUUUGAAGUACAAUAGUAUCGGUUUCUUUCCGGUUAGAGAGUGAGGGAGGUGUCAUCCAUGGGACCCGUGAAUGCUUAGUGGUCUGUUGAGGUGGCAACAGAUAAUUUAAAUAAUUCAAAUGAAUCAGCACGAAGGACUGUUUUGCAAACUAAAGUACAAAUACCGUUGGACUCGAACAAAUUGCUUUGGAGGACAAUGGGUAGGGACAUUUGUGCAAGGUUUGCGUCUAGCGGGAAAUAAAAAAUGCACAGUAGCUGGCCAUGUUUGUCAGUAAGUCAUUUAAAAACUGAAUGCAUCUCCAGGCUCCAAGUCUUAAACUGUACCUUUGCCGCUGCGAAAAGGGGAAGAAAUAGCUUAGCAGCUUGGCGGGGAGCUGUGGAGAAUUAAGUCCAGAACGGAUUCGAAGAAGAUAGAGUGGGAAACGGAAUUAGCACUGGUGUCGACGGCGUGCAAGGUAAUAUGAUAUUGUAAUAGGAAAUUGUAAGGAGAUUGGCAUAGGUCAAUCGUGGCGAAAAUGAUUGUAUAUGACGGUCAAGAUCGGAGUAUAAUAACUAUGGAAUGUUAGAUGGGUAAUAAGCGUUAGUGUCAAAAAUUCGUAUUUGUAGUAAAAUCGGGAUAUGGGAAACAGUUUUAUUAGGGGGAAAUUGCAGGCCAUCUGUUUAUAGUUGGCAUGUGUGUAGAAAUCAUUAGUGUAGCCAAUCAAUGUGGGAUGUAAAUGAAAUUCAUUGCAUAAUGAAGAGGAAAAUAAAUGGGGCAUAAACUAAAUUAGACAGAAAUUUAAUGUAGUGGUACAUAUGUGGAGAGGAGUUAUGAACAUGCGAAUAAAGGGGAAAAAUUGUAUGUUAUGAUUUAAAUUGUGAAAAAGGGCAAUAAAUGAAAGAGAAGGAAAAAAUAUCAGUUGAAUAGGUAAAGGCAAUUGAGAUAGAAAGUGAGUGGGUAAAUUUUGGACAACAAAGGAUGGGCUAGUCAAUGCAAUACUUAGUGUGAAUGGCAGGUGAGGAUAAUGAAAACAUAUGGACAAAGAUACAGACAUAGGAAACAGACUUAUGAGUGGUAUGAUGGUGGGUUUUAAAGGCAUUGUUUGGGCGGCUGCCAUUUGAAGUCAAGGGUAAUUCGUAAAAUACCAACAUCGGAGAGCAAAGAGGUGUAAAAGUUAUAAAAGUACUUCAUUCCUUUUUUUGUGUUGCAGUUAGUUUUACUUUUGAUUAAAACAAAAAAUUCAGACGUUAUGUAUAUAUGUUUGAGUUGUCUUGUAGCUUAACGAAUGAGAUUAUUGAAUAAAUGGUGCGAAAUUAUGACACUGUAAUUGUAAUUGUUUAGGAAUAGAAUGGAAAGUUGGGAAGAUGAGAUUGGCAGAAGGCAUCUUGUUGAGCUUGACGAGGAGAUGGACGAGGAAUCAGAUGAUUGUGAGUAUGUAAACCCAAGUAGAAUAGAGGCAGAAGAUGAUGUGGAAGAAGAACCCAAUAAAGAAGGGAACGAUGAAGAAGUGUAUGAGGUUGUUCAUAACAUGAGCCACUAUGAUGUGAUGACAAUGCAGUUUGAAACUGUCAAAGAUGCAGAGUGUUUCUAUUUGAACUACGGCAAAGCGAUCGGGUUUGGGAUUAGAAGGGGUUACAAGAAAAAACAUCCAGACGGCUAUGUAAGAUACAGGGCCUGGUUGUGCAACCGUGAGGGCAAGAGAGAUGACAAGCAUAUUGAGCGGCAGGAUCGACAGAGAGAGCCAAAGGCUAUGACUCGGGUAAACUGCAAAGCAUGUUUAAAGAUCAGGUAUGAUUUGAAAAUAAAGAAAUAUGUCGUGUCAGGAUUCAUAAGUGAGCAUACGCAUAGACUUGCAAGCCCUGAGAGUGUCGCUUUCAUGAGAUCCCAUCGUCGUGUCUCUGAUGGUGCUUAUGCCCAGGCCCACACACUGAGAAGGAUUGGUGUGGGUGCAAGUCAAAUAGUUAAGCUGUUUGCAUUGCAAGCUGGUAGGUAUGGGAACAUAGGAUUUACGCCUAAAGACCUUUACAAUAAGCUACAUAGCAAGCGGAUGGAGGAGAUUGCCGGAGGUGAUGCUGAAGCUGCACUUGCAUACAUGGCAGGUAAGAAUGACGGUGACCUGAAUUUUUAUUUCAAAUAUCAGUUGAAUGACGAAGGUCGGUUGAUUAGGCUAUUCUGGGCUGAUUCACGUAGUCGUGAUGACUACCGGUGCUUUGGCGAUGUGUUAGUUUUUGAUAGCACGUAUAAUACAAAUGGAUACGACUUUCCACUUGUGGUUUUCUGUGGAGUGAACAAUCACUAUUCGACGUGCAUUUUUGGAUGUGCUUUACUGGUUGGAGAGGGAGACGAUGCCUAUGAAUGGGCUAUAACGACAUUUUUAGAGGGUAUGAAUGACAAGAAACCAUGCUCCGUUGUAACUGAUGGGGAUAAAUCAAUGAGAAAGGCAAUUCAAAAGUUGCUGCCUAACGCCCGACAUAGGUUGUGUAGUUGGCACUUGGAGUGUAAUGCUAACACAAACGUUAAGGACAAGGCAUUUCUUGAUGCAUUUAAAGGAUGCAUGUUCAUGAAUUGCACGCCUGACCAGUUCGAGUUGAAAUGGAUAGAGAUGGUGAAAAAAUUCGACUUGACCUCCAAUGCUUGGGUUCAGAAAAUGCAUCGAAGAAAAGAAUUGUGGGCAAUGGCAUACCUGCGGGGCAGUUUCUUUGCUGGGAUGCGGAGCACCCAAAGGUGUGAAAAAAUGAACCAUGUAUUGAAGAUGUAUUUGACACCAAAAUUGAAAUUGUAUGAGCACAUUCGAUCAUUCGAAAUUUCCAUUGCGUGGCUGAGACAUGAGGAGAGUAGAAAUAGAAGUGAAACAGAGCACACAGAUUUACUUCCAGCAACGAAAAUGCACUCCCUUGAGAGGCAUGCAGCUGAAUUAUACACGAGAAAGACAUUUUUAAUGGUUAGGGAAGAAAUGAAAAUGCAAGGCAUGUACUGUAGGUAUAAUGGGAUUGACGAUGGGGUCCAAUGUAUCCAUUUUCUUGAACACUCUUACUUGAAGAUUGAGUAUAGAGUUCAAUACAACAGGUUUACCGGGGAGAUGAGAUGCUCAUGCUUGAAAAUGGAAACCCAGGGCCUACCAUGUUGUCAUAUGUUUCGAAUAAUGCUGUUUGAACACUUGGAUAAGAUUCCAGAAAAUUGUAUAUUAAAGAGAUGGACCCGUAAGGCGAAGGAGUGUUUGAUGUUAGAGGAUGAUACUUCAAAUGGUAGCAUAAGGUUGACUGAGAUGGCCAGGUACGCGAAACUUAUUUCUGGAUGCAAUAACUUGUGCUUUCAUGCGGCAAAAACAUUGGAGGGAUUCCGACGCGUAGAGGAUAUGAUUACAACUGAGACAGUCCACGUGAAAGAAGUGCAAUUGAGAGCUGAAAAACUUCCCAUUCAAUCGAUGACUCCCACUGUGUCAAAAAAAUUUGGAGUCCUUGACCCACCUUCUGAUAGGCAGGCAAGAGGUGCAGUAGCAAAGGGAAAACGCAGACAGCAGGAGCAUAGGAUGUGCGGCAACUGCAGGUUAUAUCUAUUGCCAUGACUGAGAUGAUUGAAGUAUGAGGGGUAUAAGUUGUUAUGGAUGCUUGAUGAUUUUUAGGGAUUUUUUAUAGUAUUGCGUUACUUAUGAAGUUUCAUCUAACCCAAAUGUAACAGUUAUUUGGAAUUGCAUGAAUCAGGGCAAGGGAUGGACACAAUAGGAGGUCAUGCAAGAUGCCAAGGCAGCCGGCAGUCUUGCACCCAACAGAGCCUUUUCUUCAAGCAGGACUUAACAGCGAUGAAGAUGGUAAUCAUGGGUCACAAUUUAGAUCUGAAGAGGCGCUGAAUCUUAGCUCACAUAGGUGCGAACAGCAAGCACACAGAUUGACGAUGAUGACUGCUGGAUGGCCUAACCAAAAUAAUGUAUAACUCUAACCCUUGUCAUGUAACAUAGGUUGCACUCAUUAUUGAUUUAAAUCUUUUUUUUUUCAAGAAUGGAUGGGGCACCGCACCCAGCAGCAGCGUGGGGAUCAUCAGAAAACAGGAAAGCAGUAGUCUUUGUAGUACUCAAGUAUGUGUUGAUAAGUACCCAAUUGUACCAAAUGAUUUUAAUUUUUUUUACAACAGCAAAACUGACUUGGGGGCACUUCACGAUGGACAUUCCAGGAAUGGCAUGGAUCCUCAAGCUCAUAUGGACGUGACCCAUUGGUGGGAAUGGACUUCGAUGUAGCCGAAUGGUGAUCUGGUUCAACUAUUACUAUAUUAAGCUAAGGGUUUAGUUGGGUUCGAUAUAGUCAUAGUAGGAGUUUGUUUUGUUUGAUGCUUUGGCGGCAAUCGAUUAGGAGUGGCGGGAGUUGUACUUGAAACCUAACUCCUUAGUGAUUGUGUCAUGUGGUUUCAUGGAAACAUUAGAUUUAGCCAGAGGUAUGAAAGGCAGAUGUUGAAAUUGCUUAAAAAUUCAUCCCAUGACUUUAGGAUGGAGUUAUCCAUAAAUAUGUGCAUUUGUCUUGUUUUUUUUUUCUUUUCUUGGUUUGGAAAAACAAGUUUACCAAUUGCUGAAGUGUAAUCGUAAAUAGUAGGACUAGACUUUGAACUAGUAGUAGGACACAGCCGAAGUGAUGACCAGCCAAAUGCAUGCAUGAUUACGAUGUGCUGCCGAACGUAACAUCUUGAUCUCCAAUUUAUUGGCAUUUCACAUAUAAUGAAUUUAGGGAUAAUUUCAGAAACCUCCCCUGAAGUUUCUGACAAUUUCACUGACCUCCCCUGAGGUUUCCACAAUUACACUAACCUCCCUUGAGGUUUCUGAUUUUGUAACAAAAUCAGCCCAUGACCACUAAAGUAAACAUAAAAAAGUUUUUUCAGGAAAGAGAGGAAAUUUUGUUCCCAUAAAUGCCCUUAAGGUAGGUGUACAAGUUAUAUUAGUGAAUUAAUGAAAACUAAUAAAAAUCAGAAAUAAAUAAGAAAAAGUGAGGGGAUGGGUAUGGGAAUCAUAAAAUUUUACUUAUGGAUAUAAACAAUUGGGUAACGCAACCGACCCAAUUAACCCAUCUACCACCACUCAGGUCAUUUCACAAAUACAUUCAUCAGACAAAGCUUUCCUCUUGUCACAAAAAUUCAAAGCAAUGUGGUACAUGUUCACAAGCAAGCAGGUUUAAAUCCCGCCUGCAUAAUAACGUUGAAACCCGCAAGCAGGAUUCUGUGUUUUUUCUAUUUCAAGGUUAGCUCGCAUGCGGGUUAAUGUUAUAUUUGAGCGCGAGAAGAAAAAAUUGGUAAUUAGGUUCUUUGGGCAUUAUAACUAAAUAUUUAAAUUAAUGGCAGUUUUAUUACUCCAAUAUUAUUGUAUUAUCAUUAUUAUGAUUAUUGUAUUAUUUCUUAUGCAAAUAUAACAUUUAAUUAUUUAAAUUUGAUUUUAUUUUUACAAUUUAUAAAAUUUUUAUCACUUAUAUAAUAUUUUUAAAACCCUAAUACAUCUAAAUUUGAUUUUAUUUUUCAAAUUUAUAAGAUUUUUAUUUAAAAAAAUGGGAUACGGAUAAGAUAUCCGGUUGGUUCGAUUUGCAUAGGUGCAUAUGAGAAUAUCCGAAUACUCUUUAAACCCGCAUGCGGGUUUAAGGAAAUUAUGGCAACUCUCUGACACACUAGUUACCCGUCCAACUUGUGUGUAUUAAAAUAUAUUUAAAUAUUAUAUUUCAUAUUUUUGUUAUUUAGAGUUUAACAAAACAUUAAUAUUGGGUAGAUUUGAGGGAUAUGCAUAAUUUUGCAUAUUUGUAGGAAUAUUAGAAAAUGGAAUAUAAUUUUGCAUAAUUUUGCAUAAUUGAGGGAUAUGCAUAAUCUGCAAUAUUUCCUUAAUCCCUCAAAUCUACCCAAUAUUAAUGUUUUGUUAAACUCUAAAUAACAAAAAUAUGAAAUAUAAUAUUUAAAUAUAUUUUAAUACACACAAGUUGGACGGGUAACUAGUGUGUCAGAGAGUUGCCAUAAUUUCCUUAAACCCGCAUGCGGGUUUAAAGAGUAUUCGGAUAUUCUCAUAUGCACCUAUGCAUAUCGAACCAACCGGAUAUCUUAUCCGUAUCCCAUUUUUUUAAAUAAAAAUCUUAUAAAUUUGAAAAAUAAAAUCAAAUUUAGAUGUAUUAGGGUUUUAAAAAUAUUAUAUAAGUGAUAAAAAUUUUAUAAAUUGUAAAAAUAAAAUCAAAUUUAAAUAAUUAAAUGUUAUAUUUGCAUAAGAAAUAAUACAAUAAUCAUAAUAAUGAUAAUACAAUAAUAUUGGUGUAAUAAAACUGACAUUAAUUUAAAUAUUUACUUAUAAUGCCCAAAGAACCUAAUUACCAAUUUUUUCUUCUCGCGCUCAAAUAUAACAUUAACCCGCAUGCGAGCUAACCUUGAAAUAGAAAAAACACAGAAUCCUGCUUGCGGGUUUCAACGUUAUUAUGCAGGCGGGAUUUAAACCUGCUUGCUUGUGAACAUGUACCACAUUGCUUUGAAUUUUUGUGACAAGAGGAAAGCUUUGUCUGAUGAAUGUAUUUGUGAAAUGACCUGAGUGGUGGUAGAUGGGUUAAUUGGGUCGGUUGCGUUACCCAAUUGUUCGAAAUUGAUUUUAUUAGAAAUUACAGUGGUAAAUUAGUAAAUUGAAAUUAAGAUUCGGGUCUUUUGUGGGUCUUUUGUGGCAUUUUUUUGAGUGAGGUUUUGCAGAGGUUUGGUGCUUGGGACGAGUAUGAGAGAAAUGCUUGGGACGAUUGCUCAGACUACUCAGAUUGCCGCAAUAUAUAAGUAUAGAGCACUAGCUUGAUGGUUAUCUGCUCUUCAAAGUAUGUGUUGGAACAACUAGGCGUCUGCUUGCUGAUUGUAUGAUGCAUUGUUUGUCUUAUGAACUAUACAUUUCUAGUUAAGUCCAGUACCGCCUGUAUGUUUGUCUUGUAAUUAAAAAAAAGUGAAUAAAUUGAACGAGAGUUUGCUAAACAUGUUGAUCAGGUGCUUGCAAAAAAAAUGUAUUUUGAACGUUAAUAUAUAUUAAUAAAUGCGUUCAUUUCGCACCAACAGAGUUAAUAUCCCUAUCUGUGCACAAUCUAUUUUCCACUUACAAUUCCCAAAACUCUAAAUUGCAAUUGGUCAGCACAUUAUGUUUGAUGGUCCAUUUUUUGACCUCAUAAAUAUCAGUCGUCUCUCAACAUAUGCAUUCAUUGGGACAAUAAGCUAGUUAAUAUUUGGCCCAUGGCUACUCCAAACAGAUACAAGAUAGUCCGACAAAAAAUAACAUGCUUGCUAAAAGUCCUUCAAGAGUCUCCCCAUGCGCCUUCAUCUCAAAACCACCCCAAGAAGGAAAAAAAAUCCCCAAAAUUCAUCCUUUCCUGUUCCAACAUGACAAACCCCAUAAACAAAAACCCAAAAAGUCUAGACACAUCGAUUCAUUCCACAUCAAGUGAACUGGAUGUGUUCCAGCCCUGGUACCCCCAUUACAACGGUGUUUCUCACGGUAUUUUCUGUUGAAACAAAUAGCUCCACGGCAAGACGCAUCCGAUCUGUCUGCGAAUUGAACUGGAAAAAGGAAGAGGAAGAAGUCAGCCAAGGACUGACACAGACAGGUACAAUAGUAGCAUGGGAAGACUGCCAAACCUGAAAAAAAUGCCUUCCUGCAUCUCCUGGAUAUUUUCCAUAUAUUUCAUGACAUACAUACCACAAUCAAAACUGUACUAUAGCAAAACGAUUUAGUAAACAUUGGUAAAAUAUCAUAGAGGGUGUAUUUGUUACGCCCUUAUAUUGUGUAGAUUUAAGAAUGCAGAAGUGAAUGAAAUGAGAGACUAAACUGGUCAUGUUGCUUGGGGCACCAACUAGGCGUCUGAAAAGCAAAGUUAGUGAUGUCUAUGGUGUAUGCACUUCCAAACCCAUGCACUAAGGCACUGUGAAUCCUUCGGCGCUGUGAGGUGAACAUUCUAAAAUAGUCAGAGCGUAGAGAGUAAAUUUGGACAGAUGGUUACUUGUGGCAGUGCAUAGCCUUACCACACAGUUUGCUAAUGCCUCCCUGCUAGCGGUGGCAUAUUCAGCUGGUUUGGAGUCAUAGAUGAAGCAUUUCUUGCAUUCAAAGUCAAUGAUGAACAGGUACCAAUGCUCCCCAUGAUAAUUCAGGGGCACACAUAUCUACAGUGUAGCAAUAACACAUGAGUACACUUCCUAAAUAUGAAAUUGCAACGUCGGUAUGUAAGAAAUAGAAAAUAAACAUACACAUACAACCUACCUGCUCACAUUUUUUUAUGUCCCCUCCAAAACUUGCUUCCGUCAAGUAGUCAGAAUAUAGUCUGUGAGCAGAGAGGUUCCUCUGUAGAACAAGUUGCUGCACAAUAUCCAAACAGGGCGUUGAUAUCAUUCAUUGACUCCAAAAAAAUGGCCUACCAAGUGCAAAAGCAACAUUAAUCCUACCUGAACAAUGGCUGGAAGGUACCAAAUGGUUGCAGCUGUACUUAAUCCCAGGAUUCUUCUUCUUCGUAGUGUCAGAAAAGCAGAGUAGCAAUCUAUAACCUACUUGAAAAACAAUUGAAAUUUAGGCGAGGUUUGGUUAUUUAAUACACGUAGCGACGCCGGCCUCUAGUACAGUACCUCAGUGUCCAACCAAAUGCCGGGGCGCAGUCGGAGAAUGUUACUGCGGCAUGCAGUGUGUCCAAGCAAUCUAACGAGAGUUGUACUGUAACAAAGCAGGUAGCAAAUAUUAAACGGAAAUCCUAAUUAAUAAAAUUGUACACUCACAGUGACGUGCACUGACUUGGAAGGCAAUUGGUCGUCAAAAAGAAAGUUAACGAUCCUGCCAAAUAGGUGCACCGGCAAGGAGUCGCAUUGCAUACGUUUUACAUACUGCACACAAGUGGGAUCAAUGAACGAGCAUUACAACUAUGGUUAAUGAAACAGUAUACAUACGUGAACAUAAUAAAAAGUACCACCACUUACUGCGAUGAGCACAGGGGAUAUAUCUCCAUUACGGAGAUCAGGAGAUGUAAACAAGCGCUGCCGUACCUACAAAAGGGAGCCAUGGUCACAUUUAUACACCUGGAGUGCACAGAUGAACUUAAAACAAUGAGAGCUUGAAGGGGAAAAAUUUGAAACUAAGUAAAAAUACUGUUUGAUUUUUCAGAUUGCCGCAACCAUUCGCAGCAACCUGCUUCCUCUCGCGAGUACAACUCUUCUUCGCAUGUUUUCGAACAGGUGCUAGUGAUUUGUUGUGAACCCCAGAAGGUCUACCACGUCCUUGUCUGAAAACAAUAAGGUUGCGUGGGCCUGUUGAUCCAGUUUCUGACUCAUAUUUUGGUGAAGUAUCACGACCACCACAGGUGUAUCUAAAUUGAUCUGCCACUGGUCGAAUAGGUGGAGAUACCCUCCUCGGCUGUCUCAUGCAAGCAGAGAUGUCUUUAGGAGGUGAGGUAACGUCAUUGGAUGUACUUUUUUCCCCAUCAUAUGCACCAACUGAUUGGGUAUAUCGGGCAGUAGGUGAAUGGUUGUUCAGGUGGUUUUCAACAUGCAUGCGGUUAAGAAUAUUCACCCCCUGAGGACUGGCCAAAUACGUUGCCAAGGCAAUACUCAUUGUCUGUUUCGUGGCAUUACCCAAGCCGUAGCCGCUGUCUUCUUCAUCUACUAGUUUGUGGCAUGCCCAAGCUCGUUUGUCGGUGCUUGGUUUCGUACUAGAUUCAGGCACCAUUGCACGUUUUAGCAUUUCAAAUACAUGCGCCAUGGAACGCAUGGCACCAUUAACUUGCCUCAAUGACUGCUGCAUCUCCGUAUUCCGAUCCUCUACUUCAGACAUCCUCCUAUACAAGGAUUCAGCAUCUGAUGCACAGAUUCCAUUCAGUCUGUCGUAUCCAUUACCAUGGACAACUACAUUGACCUACGAAACAUAAUAACGAGUGGGAAGGACACAAUCAACCAACUUGACAUGUAUUAUAAACCAUUACAUACUCCUUAUACAACAAAUUCUUAAAUUCCAACCUUGGCUCCAGCAAACAGUCCGCUUCUCUUUAAGGCAAACACACGUUCUUCGACUUUUGCAUGAUCCCACCAUCCUAAUCGUGGGAAAAAUCGAUCGUUAAGUGGUUGGUACCGCUCAUGGGAGAGAUUGAAAUUGUCCAAGUACAACAGCUACUUGCAACCAUUGGAAGAGCAGGAUGGAUGAAAUCAAACUACUACUAAGAUGGAUAAAAAAAAAAUUAUCAACAUGUAUUAUAUAUUAAUAAUUCACUGACCAUCAGUAAUACAACGCAACCAUAGACCUCUGGGGCACUCUUCUUCUUAGCUUCGGCAAUACCGUUGCUCAACUCAUCCACCACUAGUGUCGCCCAGUUCACCUUGCCAGCUGUUUGAAUAUUGUACAUAAAAGGAAUUAAUGCCCUCCUAUGUGCCCAAUAGGGGGAUGGAGCCAGAAGCUUCCCCAAGACAAAGAGUAUGAACUUCACUCUGAAGGCUGAUCCAUGGCUGACUAAGGUUUUUAGCUCCUUUUUAAUGCUUGACAGAACCACUACCCCAUCUUUAACUGGGAUUUCAAGUAGAGCUUCCAAGUCUUCAUCGACGGCUAGGUCUAGCCCCACUAAACUUACAUCCACUCCAGUACAGCUCACGCCUAUAACUCUUUCAACAUCAGUAGGUGUGACCUUCAUCUUGACACCGUGGACAUCAAGCGUCCGCGUUUGGCAAUUGAAAUUGUUUACAAUCCAUGUUAGGAAUUCAUCAUCGAUCCUGAAUCCUUUAAUGUCAAGCAAGCCACCCAAGCCUAGUUCACGCACAACAUUUUGUUGGCCUAUAGUGAGAGCGUCAACAACCUCCUUCACCAGCUCAGUUGAGGAUCGAGUCUUGUAUACUACCUACAUUAAUAUAUCAUUCAUUAAAAUAUCCGUGAUAUUGGAAUGAAUGGUAUGAGCAACACUUACAAUAUGGCUCAUUGCAGUCUGGCCCUUGCCAUCAUUAGGGCGAGACUCGUUUGGCUUACUUACUGCUGUAUUAGUUUCGCUGGGAGUGAAUGUGGAAGAGAUGGAUAUGGGGUUAUCCCAUCCCCUGGCUUUUUCCCUAUGCUCGUUCGUGUCCAUUCCAGCAGAAUUCUUGGCAACCAUUGGGUGUCUCCGCUCCGGGAACUCCUCACGCACGCCUCCAUAACCAGAUAUCACACUCACUUCUCUGCUCCAACCAACCUCUUGCUUACAAUUUGAAGACAGCACCUUGACUAUGUUGGAGUAGCUAUCCGUGCCACAUGUCCUCUGUCCACCGUAUGGAUUUUUCCCUUUCUUUUUCAAUGGAUCCCUGUGUUGAAGAAUUAAAUGUAUAGCUACUGCCAAGAAGGAUAAUGUAAUGCGGGAACCCUUGGUCUUGUGUGGGGUACACAAUUGAUUUUAUUAAAUCAAUAAUAUGUGGGCCAUUCCAGUUAAAUUACUGGUUACUAAGUUCAUUUUUUACAACGAACACAACAUAUUUGUCUUCUGCGCAUUAAUUAUCUAUAUUAAUUAUACACGAACCAAUGCUUGGUUCCAAAAUGCCACUAUCUAAUUUUGUUAACAUAAUCUCAUAAUGGGAGUGUAAUUAAUACCAUUGUAAUUGGUUCAUCCUUGCCCUCACCAAAUAAACAAUUACUUGUUCCCCUUAGCCUAUGAAAUGCAUCCAAACCAUCUGUUUCAUGCAUACAGAACAAAGCUGGUAAUCAAUAUGUGGUCCCUCACGGAAACAUGCAUAUUCCAUGAAACUUUAAUGCAACCCAACUCACUCUGGACCGUGGAUACAUACACGUACACGUUAUGCCAAUCGAAACCUUUAACAUUAAUUUUUUUAUAAACCUUCACGAAGGUCCUAUUAGCUACGAACUUAACUUUUGUUCUCAUAUUUUUUAAUGCACACACAACAUAAAGGAAAAACAUAGUAGACAGUGGUUUGUCAUGGAUGUGGGAAGCAUCCGAAAAAGGGUGUCGUUGGACUACAUAAGGGGAGACAUACAUCUUCUGUAGAAUCCUCAGAUUCCUUUGCCGAGCAGGUCCUUGGCUUCCUUUGGGACGCCUUCGUGCCUUCUUGCUGGGUUGCACUCCUCUACAAGUUUUGCAAUAUCCUACUUUUGUACUUUUAGCUUUAUCCCGGAUGUAACACACUUACUUCUUUAAAUCUGUGCUUUGAUGAAUGAGCCUUUUGGCGCCCAAUAAUUUCCCGCCCAUUAAAGUUUCCCUCCAAUCAAUUCUGUGUCUUCUUUUUUUCCCGCCUUUAAAGCUCCUACCGACGCAUUGCUGCCUUAUUUAUGGGUUGCACUACUCUACAAGUUUUUUACGAUUCUACCUUUUCCUUUCCGAGUUUACACUAUAGCCUGCAACCUAUAUGAUGAUAAUCGUUUUUGGCUGAAGUCCAACUUAAUUAUUUAUUAACGGUGCGCUUCGGUGAAUAAGCCUUUCAGCGCCCAAUAUUUUCCCGCCCAGUUUCCUUUCCCUCCAAUCAAUUCCGUGUCUUCUUUCUUUCCCGCCUAUAUUUUUUAACUAUUUAUCACUCAACUGUUACUUUCCUCUUAUGUACUUCAACAAGUGCAAACUAGUUGAGUCAACUCUACCUUCGAUAUAUUCAAUGUGAAACUCAACAUAAUUUUACGAAACUAGACCCUUGUCAAAAUGGUAAGUUAGAUUCAAUUUUGAAUCUACCUCGACCUUAAAACAUUAAAAACUAAUUUUCAACAAAGACAUAAAUAAAGUCAUAAUUUUUAAUAAAUAAUAAAAUACCAGCUCUCUUUCUAUAUAUUAAUAUUUAUUUAUUUAUAUAUAUAAUAUUUUUUUUUCAAUUUUAUUUUAUAAUAUGUAUAUUAAUAUAUAUUUGAUAUACAUAUAAAUAUAAAUAUAAUUUAUAAAUAUAAUAUGUAUAUUAAUAUAUAUUUGAUAUACAUAUAAAUAAAUAUAAUUUAUAAAUAUAAUAUGUAUAUUCAUAUAUUCAUAUGUAAAUAUGUAUAAAUAUAUUUAUAAAUAUAUAAACAAUAUAAUAUACAUAAUUGAAAUAUACAUAUUAUAAAACAAAAUUGAAAUAAAUAUAUUUAUAAAUUUAUAUAAAUAUAUAUAAAUAAACAUAUUUAUAUAUUUACAUAAAUAUAUAUAAAUAUAUUUUAAACAAAGUAUUUAUAUUUAUAUACAUUGAUAUAUAUUUAUUUUUGUAUAUAUAUUUUAUUAAUUAUAUUUUUUUAAAAAAAUAUUUUUUGUAUAUAUUUUUUAUUAAUUUAUAUAUUUUUGUAUAUAUAUUUUAUUAAUUUUAUAUAUUUUUGUAUAUAUAUUUUAUUAUUUUUAUUUUUUGAAAUAAAUAUAUUUAUAUAAAUAUAUAUUUAUAUAUUUACAUAAAUAUAUAUGUGUAAAUAUAUUUAUAAAUAUAUAUCAAUAUAUUUUAAACAAAAUAUAUCAAUAUUUAUAUAUAUAUUUAUUUAUUGUAUCUAUAUUUUGUUAAUUUUAUAAGUAUAUAUAUUUAUUUUAAACAAAUUAUUAAUAUUAAUUUUUUAUUAAUAUUUAUAUGUAGAUAUGUAUAUUUAUUAAACAAAUAUAUUUUUUUCUAUAUAAUAUUUAUAUAUAAACAUAUAUAAAACUCUAUUUUUUGUAUAUUUGGAGUUAUUUUUGAUAUAUUGUUUAGAUAUGAUGUUUUUGGAGUUGUUUUUGUUUGUGUAUUACUGUAGUAUUGUAGAUAAAAAACAAGUAUUUCAAAAACUCUCAAAUUCACACCAACCCAUAAGUAUCUUGAAUAUAUUUUUUCGAUUGCCUGAAGGGACAAAAGAAACAUCUUGUUGUUUUUUCAAUUUUUUUUCCUUUACUGUACCUCUCAUUACGAUUCAAACCCAGAUGAAAUUAUGACCAUCUAUUACAGACAUACGAAUUAACCAAUCUUGUAACAUUCCCAACGAAUUCUUAGAUUUCUUUGGGAAGAAUUCUUAUUUUAAUGUCCUCAGUAUUGGCUAUUUUAGACUAGCGUAAAUUAUAUAAGUACAAACUACAACACAUUUUCAUACAAUUAGUUAUUUCAUUUUUAAGAUUCACAUUUUAAGUUAUCCCAUAAUCAUGUGAAUACUAUUUUCUACGAUAGCAUUCAAAAAAUGUACAUACAAAUGAGAUGCAUUGACACCUAUGAUAUAUAUUACUAAUGUUACAUUCUGUGACUGAUUUUAAACUUUUUGGGACUUGAUUAAAGCAACAAAACAUAUUGCAUCACUAAGUUCUCUCAAAUUUGUUCCCAUUCAACAGUUAACGAUACAACAAGGCAAUUUUUUCCAAUUUUUUUUUUUCAACAAGGUCAUUUUCUAUGCAACGAUGUAACUACAUCAAGUUCAUAGUCUUAACUACGUUUUAAAGCAUUGCUAAUAUCUUGUGCAUUUUGCGCUCUGCCAAAUUACCCGGAAAAAUUUUUUUCCCCUUUUUUUUACUUACCAAGCGAUCAUUCAUCUACUUUCCAUUCAAUUUCUCUACCAUUUAAUUUUAUUGGGUUCACAGAUUUUCUUACUUUUAUUAUACUUGUAUAAUAUGUUUUCCACGAGCCAAAUCCAUUUAAUUACAUGAUGUUCAAGAUACAUUCACAUAUUAUAUGAACAUUAUUCGACCUUGAUUGAAUAUUAAAUGACCUGUAAAUGUUGCUCGAACUAGCUUCAAUAUUUUGUAUAUAUGUUACACUUCAAAUUCGAUGUCAAUUUCUUAAAUUAAAUUAAUCGAAUUCAAGCUUGAGCUCUAACUCCAAUUUCAUUUUCAAAACUAUUUCAUUAUGCAUUUCAAAGAUCAUUCAUGAUUUACAAUAAAUUUAAUUAUGCUUCUUUUUUUACCAACUUAAAUAAUAUUCAUUUCAUAUAUAAUUACUUUUAUAAUGAAACAAGACAUAUAUAUCCUAUAUUUAAAGGUAUACUCAUAUUGCUAUUCAUUUAUUCUUUGUCGUUAUAUAUGUGUUCACGAACUAUUCACAAAGUUUGUGAAUAGGAUCGUGCUUGUCUCGACUACUAAACGAAGCUGACAUCGUGUUCAAGUUUGAUUUAUUUAUUAAACAAUCAAUCUUUUUUGUCACUCGAAUGAACCAAACUCGAACAUCUUUGUCAUACCUUAACUUGUACUAUAGAUGAAACUUAGAGAGGAAGGGAUGAUUUGGAUGUACCUAUUUUCAAGUUCGAGACCUGCCACUUGCACAAAAAAAACGUGACAAUACUUAACUCUUCUUUGCUUCCAUUCUAUAACUUUUAAUCGCAUCAUUCUUAUAGCCCAUAAAUCCCACUUCUCAAAUUCGCCAAAACUGAUGCGCCCAUGGAAUGUUCGAUUUCAUCAUGGUUACCAAUACAUACACAUAUACACAUGUAUACACUCAUACACACAUAUACCAUAUUUAUUAUUUUAAGAAUUAAUCAUUUAUACUCUGCCAAUUUCGAUAAUUAUCUAUUUUGAUUAUAUAACAACUAAUUUGUUCUAAUUGAGUUGUAUUUAUUUUUCAUCUAACUCUCUUCCAACAAAUUUCAUUCAUAAUUUGUCUCUUCUAAUCAGCUCGAUCGUGCCUAAUGCAUUUCAGUUAUUCUUUUUAUCCUUGCCUUCUAAUUUUAUUUAUCCUUUUUCAAUACACUUGCAUUAUCGUACAUAGUAAUUUGCGUGUACAUUUAUUAAUUCACUUUUUAUAUUGCUUAACUUAUUAAUUUUGUUACAUAGUAAUACAUCACUAAUGCACAAAUGCACUAUGCUAUCUUUCAUUUUAUUUCUACUUAAAAUGAAUACCGAUGUCAAUAUAAUCACACACAUCAUAAAUUUAAUUACCAUCCCACAUAAUAUAUUUCAUCUAUUGUAUGAAUUGUAUUAUUUAGCAGAUAUGAUUGCACCACACUAUUUUUGUAUACAUAACUUUUUUAAGACUACUAUGGUACAUAAAUACCUCAAGUGCAAUUAUUUCUUCAUACAACUAUGAAUACUUUAACCAAACAUUAUUAUACAAUUAUUUACACCUUGGAUCAAUUCAUAAUUAAUCAUUAAGCAAAAAAAAAAGAUUGCACUAGCAAAAUAAAAGUUGUUAUUCAUGGACAUACUAAACCUGCUACAAAUUACAUGCAUCUAUACCAUGCUUUUUAUUUGGGGAUGAUUUCAGAAACCUUUCCUAAGGUUUCUGACUAUUUCAUUGAAUUCUCAUGAGAUUUGAAUAAUUACGCUUACCUCCAUUAAUUCAAUAGUUUAAGUAACAAUAUAUUAAAAUAAUAUUUAUUUCGGCAAAUUUAAAUGAAUACCCAUAAAUGCCAUUGUACAACGUGUUUUAUUUUUUUCUAUAAAAUUAGACUAUUAUCUAGUAUAAUUAUAUGGAAUAGGUGCCAAAUUUUUUUAUGUACAUAUCUGCUAUUUUAUAAACAACUAUAAUAAUUUUAUUAUUAUGAUUGGAAACUUUUUCCUGGUAUUUUAUUAUGGAUUUAGAUUUAUAAGAUAGAAAAAAUAUGUUGAUAAACUCAUUUCGAGUUUAUUAAUUUUUCAAGUAAUGCAAUUAUCAUAAUUUAAUACUGGUUUUGGCCCAUAAAAAGGUUCAUUUUGUCAAUUAAAAAUAAAAAUUAGAAAACAAAAUAAACAAAAACAUUGAAUUACAUAUAAAAUUAACUCGUAACAAAUUUCACUAAUUCGACAUUUAGUUAUAAUAGAACCUAGAGACAAUAGUGACAGUUCUACAGUUUCAUUGACGAACAAAUAACAAAAAGAAAUAAGAAGGAAAAAAUUUUAACAAACUCAUUGUAAAUAUACGUAUACCAAAUAACAGAAUUUUCUUAAAAUAUUUAAGAUUUAAAUUGUCUUUUUAAAUCCCAAGGAAGGUAUGUGUAAUUGUUUAAUUUUUAUGUGAGAGGGAGUUCAGGGAGUUCAGUGAAAUCUCGGGGGAUAUUUCUGAAAGUACCCCUUUUACUGCCCAGCCUUUUUCCGGGGCCACUUGCAAUUUAGUGUUUCGUUGGUCUCCGGUCUUAAAUUAAUCAUCUUUCCACGUUUGCAAUGAUGUGGACGUCCAACUGGAACAUCACAUAUUUCUUGCCAACUGGUUUGACGUGGAGGUGGAACUGGAACAUGUGCUCCACUAUUCCACGCCGGCUCAGCAAUUCUCCUUUCGGUUUCCAUGCAGCCUUGAUUUCCGUGGCUGGACACGUGCUAAUCGAUGCUUCAACGGGCCAGCUUUUCCCUUGCUGGGGACAUCCGUACUGUCUCCAUUAUAGAAAAAUCCCUUUAAUAUCUUACACGACUAUUCAAUGCUGUACCCUAGAUACAAUUACCAUAUUUUUCUAUUUUCGGUUAUUUUCAUCUUCUUUAUCUUCCUUUUCUCUUUUGCCCCUUUAUUGUCUCUCCUUUCACACAACUUCCCUUAACAAUUAUCAUAUAUUAAUUUAGACUAAAACUUUAGUGUCUUCUAAUUUAUUUUGUGUUGUAGUUUAUUUAUUGCAGAGUUUUGUUAUUUAUAAGUAAUCACAAACUCCAUAUCAUAACCAAUGUUUUGAAAAUCGGAUUGGAUCGGUCAAUUUGAUUGGUCAAACCAUGAAUUGAUCAUACUUUUGGUCCGAUUCACUCAUUAACUCAAAAAUUCAAUUGAAUAGAUCAAACUCGAUCAUGAACCGGUAAAAAUCGAUAAAAAUCAGAUGGUUCAAGCGAGUUUCAUUCAUUUUUUAUUUUUAAAACAAAUAUUUUAGUUUUAUUUAAAAAAUUUUAACACUAAAAUAAAUGAAAAAAAUUAAACAUUUGAUCAAGGUUGAACCACAAACCGAAAGAUCUUUUGAAAACAUUGAUCAUAACAAAGCAUAUGCUUCUUCUAAUGCAAAGUGUAUGUAGUUUAGAACUUGAGUUGGCUCACUCACAUGAAUGGAUUAGAGCUUAAACCUUACCAAUUACUAAUAACAAGGAAAAAAAAGAAAUAUAAGCAUCAACAAUUCUAUUAAUAAAACAUAUUUUUUGUUCUUAUUAUAAUGAAUCGACCUAUAUUAUUAAUGUAAUCUAUAAAUUUAUCACUUUUACUUAUACGUGUCAAACAAAUCCAUUUAGGCAAUUUUACUCAUACUUGCACCAUGAAUAAAUGGGUAUGGGUAUCUUCAAUUUUAUAUAUUGAUAUAAAUGGAUUACCCACUAAUACUCAUUUAAUGAAUGGGUAUAAUUGAAUAAUCCACCAAAUUCAAUUAAUCCAUUUAGAAUUGUUUUCACAAUCACGUCCAUUUAGAAUUGUCUUUAGUAAUAGUAUCCUAAUUUCUUCAUCACCUUUGACCAAAGUUAGUAUCAAAAAGUGGAGAACCUAACCGAAAGGUGGGAGAAUCUGUUGGCCAGUUUUUAAUUUAAAGAUAAAAAAAUAGCUAUACACUUGUAGAUUUUUCUGUUCUAUUUUCAUUUGUAAUUCUUGGUAUCCAAUUUCAAGUUCAUAAGUUGGUCGAUCAUUAUUAUUUAAUAUCUCGCUUUUUCAUGGCUCCAAAUCCUUUCCCUAUUAUAUAGCAAAAAUAUUCUUAUUGUUCAAUUAUUAAAUAAUAUGUAAUUUUGCGACAUAGCACACAAAUGGGAAAAAAAAUGGUAAUUAGACUUAUUGAGCAUUACAAGUAAAUAUUUAAAAUUAAUGAUGGGUGCAAACUGCAAAAGGGUGAUAUAAAUUGAUAAUUUAGUCUACAAAAUAAAAUUAGAUGAAUUUGUAAAACGUUGGAGUAAAUGGGUUGUAACCCAACUCAUUUUUUGACUUCCCCAUUUAUAUUCAUCUAAUUAAAUGAAUAUAAAUGGAUUGACUCACUUAUACCUAUUACCCAUUUUAACCCGUCCAAACCCGCUCAAAUUACCCAUUUUAACACAUCUACUUUUACUAGUAGUUAUUGAUUAACGAUAUCCUCCAAUCUAUUUUAAGCAGUUAAAUAACGUAUGUAGCAUAUAUUUAGCUAUAGUAAAUUAUUACUAGUAAAAACCACCGAAUAAGCAAUAAUACAAAACCAAAAGAAUAAGCUAAUGCAUAUAAAUAUUUAAUUUUCUAUAUAUAAAUAAUGGUAACAAAAGGAAGGAAAUUCGUAGCCGUAUGAUACAACGAGAGUUAUGAAAUUUGAAAAGGAAAAAAGAGAAAAUAAAAAAUAACAUAAACAGAAAUAAUACUAAGCACAUUAAGAUGCGAUGAAAUACACGUUGAACUAUAUUUGGUUACUUUUAUAUUUUACACUUAACCAUUUUACCUUCAAACUAAGAAUGUUAUCAUUAUGUAACAAUAGUGGUAUAUUCACAGAAGUAUAUCAUUUUUAGGCAAAAAACUUAUUAAUAAAAAAAUGCUAUCUCUUGUUUUAUUGCUAAAUAAAAUAACUUUUUUUUUAUUUUUUACUACAUGGUCUAUAUGUGUAAGUAUGUAAAAUUAAAUUGAGUAUUCUAUUAAUAUUUAUAUAUAUUCAAAAUAAAUAUUUUUAAAUAUGAUAAUUAAUAUUUAAAAACACUUUAUGAGUAAUAUAUUAUUUAUAUUUAUACAUGUUAGUAACCCAUUGAUUUAACCACCUAGUCACUAAUUGAACCAAGUGACCUAUCUAUCUAUUCGGUCCUUUUAUUGGUUUCUUGAGAUUUAAUAACUAUGCUUUUUGAGGUAUUUACUCUUUUAACAGAUCCAUUUUUAAUUGCACUGACCAAAAACAAUUAAAUGAGCGGACCCUAAAUAUUCUGAAGUAUAUCCUUGGUGUGGCUCUAAAUUAAGCCUCCCUAAAUGGUGAAGCAGAAAAUUACCCUUAAAUCAAAAUGUUCUGAAUUAUAUCCUUGAUGUGACUCUAAAUUGAGCCUACCCAAAUGGCAGAGCAGCAAAUUUGACAAGAAAUAUUGAAUUUCGGAAAAAUCAUCUUUGCAGCUGAACAAAUUCCGAAUUUUAUUCUUUUCUCCUGCUGCUACUAAUAUAGACCCAACAGAAUUAGGGCCUGUUUAGCAAAUAAGUUUUUAAUCAAGUUUAUUUGCUUCAAGUUUUUUUUAACAACUUUUAAUACAAUAAUCUCAAAAAACUUCUCAAAAAUUUUAAACUAUAUAUUUCAAAAUAUCUAAAAAUUUAUACACAUCAAAAAAUUUUUAUAAUUUUUAUCAUAAUUUAUAAUUAAAUUUUAGAUAAACAUCCAAAAAAUUCAUUCGUCAAACGGGGCUAUAUGGAUCUUUUUACCUCAGACAAAAACAAAAAUUUUAUAGGAUUGUGGUGCAUUAAAAUUCCGUCCUUGUCCCUUUGCACGUCGGCUUGAAAUAAAAAAUGUGGUUAAUGGACCCAUACUGCCUUGCUUUGCUUGCCUGCUGACUACACGUUGCACUGCAAAGGCGUGUCCCUUUCGAUUUUCGCCUGUGUUUCUUCCCUCUGAAAUAGAAAGUAAUGGACCAUCUGGUAACCAAACACUCGUAAAAGAAGGGAGAAAGAGCCCGCUUUCUUGGCUAACGCCCGUACUCUAGUACUGCUGUGCUAGUAGAACUGAACCAUCUUGACUUGAGUUUAUUGAAUAAGCCCAGAACAGUAAUGGAGUCUCUGCUCAUUGGGUCUUUUGCAAAGCCUUCAUAUUUACCUUCAUUUCCUCUCACUUCUGAGCUUUCUUCUCCUUCCUCUGGUAAGCAGAAAUAUGUUCUCAAAUGUCGUUUCUGAUAAUUUAUUUUGUUGGAUUUUGGGAAAACUGGGGUACCUGCAUUGAUUUUUUUGCUUUCGUCUCAGUUUUUAAGAUUUUGGGAUUAAGCUAUAUGGGACUUUAAAAUUGUCUAAUGUGUUCUCAUUUAAUUCAUAAUCGAAAAAUUUUUAGCUAAUCGUGUCAAUUUCACUUGGGAUUCAGUUCUUGAGAAAAUUUAGCUUAAUUUUCUUCAUUCUGGAAUUCAAUUUCUGCUGUUUGUAGAUAAAAAUAUUAGCUUUAUGAGAAUGCAUGCUAACUGAAGAAGAAACAAAAAAGAAUUAAAUACGGAAGCUCAUAAAGGGGGUGCAUGCUGCAAUUUCUUGUGUUUCUUUACUGUUUUAUUUCCCUUUCUUGUUACUUCUUAUAAUUCUGAAAUUGGUCCACUAUGUUGAUUCUAUAGGAUUUCUCUUGAAAUAAUUGGUUUAAAUGUAGGACUGCUGGGUUUGAAGUGCAAAAGAUGGAACAAUCUAGAGAAACAGUUAGCAGUGAUCCCAAAAAGGCGGCUUCUGAUGAGUCAGCAUGUUGGUAGCGACAGCAGCCAAAAAUUUGUUGCUUUUUGCUGGAAAGGAAGUGAUAAGUAUUUGGUGAAUGCUGUCUCUGAACACCCUUUUGAAUCUGAACCUUCGAACAGCCCCCUGAAGUCACUUCAAGCCAGUUUAGAUGCUUUCUAUCGGUUUUCACGUCCCCACACUGUUAUAGGAACAGUUAGGUUCAGAGAUCCCGUUGCUCUGAGUUGACAUUAAGAUGCUAACUAAUUUUAAGCAGUAAUCACUUUUGUUUGUGUAUGCUAGCAUUUUCAGGAUAGCAUGUGUACACAUACAUAGAAAGUAACUUCUCUGUUUGUAAGGAAGAUUGUAAACUUUAUUCACUUUUCUGUGAGCAGGUACUGAGCAUAAUUUCAGUUUCUCUACUUGCAGUCGAAAAGGUUUCAGAUUUUUCUCCAUUGUUUUUCACUGGGAUGUUCGAGGUUCGUUUGAUGUUUUGGAUGAUUCAAGAAUUCAAGUAUGGUAUAAUCUAAUAUGAUGUUUUUAGGCAUUGAAGUUGUUGGUUUUCAGGCCAUUGCUGCUGCCUUCUUGAUGAACAUAUACAUUGUUGGCCUGAAUCAGUUGUCAGACAUAGAUAUUGACAAGGUAGGACAUGCAUGAAUUCAUUUCUUUUUUAGGUCCAUGAAUGAGUUGUCAGACAUGGAAAUAGAUAAGGUACGACAUGUAUAAAUUCAUUUCUCUUUUAGGUCCACAUCUAAAAUUUACUUCUUGCAUUGCACUUUCACGAAACAAAGAAUCAGAAGAAAUCCAGCUACCUUAUGCAAUUCAAGGGAAGGAUUGAUGGCAGGACAUGGUCAAUAUGGCUAUUCAUGUAAAGGAAUUUAUUUAAUUUUUUAUAAUAUAAUUCUGCAGAAUGGUUACCUCUAUUACCUUUAUUUUCUAGUUUGCAGAGUAUGUGAGCAGUUUCUAGAUCAUAGAUUCUUUUACUAUAUCAGAAAGUCAUAAACUUUGUUUUGCAUUUGAAUUAAGUGACAACUGUUAUUAUGUGUAAACAAUAACAAUUAUCACUUGGAAAUUGCGAUAUCGAUUAGUGUUUUCUUUUAGCCACGCCGAGAGUUGCUGCAUGUCCAGUUAUAUGGGAUUGUUAGGAAGUUUGAUUUUAAUUUCAAGAUUAAAAUUCAUUUUCCACAUUACUGCUUUUCUCUACCUUGGCGCAAAGGAUAAAUUAGGAGCUGAGGUGGCGUACAUGGACAGGGUUUAACUAUUUUAUGAUCUACUAAAUUUAUGACUGGACUUUUGUUUGUCAAUGCCAUUACUUCUUUUUCUUCUCUUCCACCACUUAUUUUAGUGAUGUUGUUAUUUCAGGUUAAUAAGCCAUAUCUCCCAUUGGCAUCAGGGGAAUAUUCAGUCAAGACUGGUAUAAUAAUUGUUUCAUCAUUUGUCAUAAUGGUAAUUCUUAAGCUUCCACCAAACUUUGUGUGUUCUUUUGUCAUUUUCUUUCAUGGUAUGACUGUUUAGUUGUCUGCCAGCUAUUGUAUGACAAAUCACAAAACUUUUCCUCUAGAUAUGUAGUAGCUUGAAAGAAUUUUUUUCAUGAACAUAAAUCACUGGAUAGCUAACCAUUUUUUACUGGCAGUGAGCUCCUAUCACUACUCACCUUAUAUAUUUAAAUCAUAAAAAGUAGUUAACUACUUUUUAUACUAAUUAGAUGGUAUAUUUACAAAGAGCUCCAAUGAAUUCUGUAAAUUACAAUUGCCUUAAUUGAGAGGUAGUUAACUCUGAAAUAUCCUUUUAAAGAUGAUGGCCAGAGGGCUAACUGUUUUUAAAAAUUGAGAACAUCUUUAAUGUGACUCCAUGUUAACAUUGAUGGGGGGAGUCAGUCAAUGUAGUUUAACUCACGGAUCUUUGCCUAUCUUUUUUAUUUUUUUUUGUCGAUACGAUAGCUUCCUACACUAUAGGGAAGGGGGGCCUGAAGAGGUCCUGAGGUAACCCGGAGGGGACUAAACCACCACCGGACCAGACGGGUGCACUGCGCACCCGCCUGGAUUUUUUAAGCAAGGCCACAUUUAAUUGUGGCAAAUUGGUAACUCUUGCCUCCCACCCCACCAAGCCUUAAUGCAUUGGUGGUGGCCACCAACCCAAAGGCUGGUGGUUAGAUCUUUGCCUAUCUACUUUCGUGUGUUCUUCAUUACUUGUCAUAAGUCUAUAAACUAUUUAGUUUUUAUUAGUAUUUUCUUCCAUAUUGGAAACAAUUGUGAUUAGUUUUCUAGAGGAUAUUUGGAGUUCCUUCAGUAAAUAUUCUGAAUGUUAGCAGAGGAAUUCUAGAAUAUUUGCAAUAUGUUCAUAUAUUCUUAUUUACUUAUCAUGAAACUUAUUUAUUUCUCCUUACAGAGCUUUUGGCUUGGAUGGAUAGUAGGCUCAUGGCCAUUAUUUUGGGCUCUUUUUGUCAGCUUUGUGCUUGGGACUGCAUACUCAAUGAACGUAAGUGAAAUAUGAAACCUAUGCCUUCACUAAAUAGUUUUCUUAUUUCCGGAGACUCUGGAUUUUGCCUUCAAAUGCACUACUGAUGUCAAUUUCCAAUGCAGUAAUUUUUUUUUUUGGCCUGCCCAAAGUAUAAAGUCUUUAGUUUUGGUUCUCCAAUGCAGCAAUUUAUAUGUUUUGCCUGCCCAAAGUCAGUACUGAUAAAGUCUUUAGUUUUGGUUUUGGUCCAUCCCAAUUUAGUAUCACCUUCCCUCUAUCCAUCAGCAAAACGUAGUGGCUCCACAUGUUUGCCACUACCUACUUACAUUUGAAGUAAAUAUUGUUAGCUGAAUAUUCCACCCAUGAAACUAAAAUGUUCUGUUUGAUGAGCAUGAUUUAGAAUGGUUAGAAUGGACAUCUGCAUUUUGCUGGUUAGAAUGGUUGAUCGUCACUAAUCAUAAGAGUACGAGGUAAGUUGACAGUAACUUGUUCAAUCUGUCCUUUUAGUCUGAUCUUACAACAUUUCUGUUAGACAGGUAUACAUACGAAACUAAUCUUGUAACAUGUCAUCUUUCCAUUAAAACAUUCUUUGAUUGUCUUUAAGGAUAUAUGGUUCUUGAAUUGCUCUAUGAUAUGAUCUGCAUUGUUGUUUCAGUUAUAUGCACUAGUAAAUUGUCAUUAACAACUUUACAUUGAGGGUUGUUAAAUUCUGGAAGCUCACAAACUCAUCUGGCUUCUGCCCUCUCAUGUCCUUAGUUUAUAGGGACCAUUGCUAUUAUUCUAGCUUUCCUAAUGAAAUGUGCCAGAAGAUCCUGUGAGUAGGCUGCUAACCAAUCUUGUAUUUGUUGUAAGAGAAAAAGUUCUUGGCAAGCAAAAGUGGAUACACAUUAUGUGAAACUCCUAUUUUGAAAUUUUCUCCCAUAAAAUGUGUUCAUUUUAGUCUUAUGCUUUAGCAAGUAGUUCAGUUUUUGGCUUCUACACUGUUCGAGUGAGAGGAAUAACAUUUCCAAUUUAUUGGCUAAUUUACUCGUGAUGUCAUGUUAUGUGAUAAGAGUUUUCAAAAUCAAGUUUUGUUGCUUAAUAGAUCACAGGAUUGCUUCACUGAAUUAAUUUGGUUUGGAACUUAUUUUUCCUCCUGUAUUAUAAUUCUUCAGGCCUUUCUUUGGUGGUACCACUUCAGGCCAACUUCCGAUUUUGCAAUUAUUUGUAAACCUUCAAGAUAAUAGUUGCAUAUAAGAUUCCAGAAUUCCUUGUUUAGCACAGGAUGCUUUUUCCUGAAUGAAAAGAAAAAAAUGGAACUUGUUCUUAGUCUCCUUCAUCCUUUCAAUUAUCAAUCUUCAGUUCAUUUGGUGCUGGCAGGUCAUCAAGCAAGAGGUUCUAGAUUCAAAUAUUUCUAAUAUUUAAUUCGUUUUAAUAUGUGAACAGCUCCUUCAAUACAUUGCCAACAACUAGCCCUCAAAAAAAAAAAAAAGAAGAAAAACCUUGCAACUAUCCGAGAGCAGGAAGCACGAGACCAUAACUUCCUUUUUGAAAUAUCAUCUCCAAUUAGAACAUUUAUUGCUGACAAUGCAAAUUAGCACAGUAAUGAUUCCUGUUGAUAUAUUGGGAUAAGAAUAUAGAGCGACUGAGUUGGCUUACAUAAAGUGGAAUGGCCUAGCUGUUUAAGUAAAUACUUGCCCAUGUUUAGCAUUGUAGUGGUAGAAAUCUGGGAUACCCAGAAGGGGUUUUCUAUGCCAAUGCUCACUGUUUCCCGGUCCUUUGCAGGUACCAUGGUUGAGAUGGAAGAGAUUUGCAUUUGUUGCUGCACUCUGCAUCUUAGCUGUGCGAGCUGUAAUUGUACAGUUAGCAUUUUAUUUGCACAUUCAGGUCAUCCUCGAUCCAUUCUAAGUAAUAUAUUUUGGUAUAAAUAUUUUUUCUGUGAAAUGGAGUGACUCAGUUUGUAGUUGCGAAUUAUGUUGUCAUUCUCAGAUAAGCUAACCGUGUUGAAAUAUUGCAUUCUUUUUACCAUUUCCUAGUAGUCUCCGAGUUUAUGCAACAAGAGGACUUUUAUCAUCCUUUACUAUCAUAUAUGGUAGCAGUAGACUGGAUGAUUACCAAUGUAUAAGCUUGAUAGUUCUGGUGAUGCGUGGAUCUGAUUCUUUAUGACCCUUGUUCACAGACUUAUAGCAGUGUAAUAAGUUUUGCUGCAGCUUAACAAAUAGGGUUUCUUCUGGGAUGUGAAGAAUUGCUUGUUCUUGAUAUUUAGCUUUAUGAUAUUAUGUCAGCUUCAGUUGCUAACUGAUUACUAAUCUGUGGUCAAUUCUUUCAGACUUUUGUAUUCAGACGACCAGCUCUCUUGUCAAAGCCUGUAAUUUUUGCCACUGCAUUCAUGACCUUCUUCUCCGUUGUUAUUGCACUAUUCAAGGUGAAUGUUUUUACUUGGUAUGCUGUGGGGGUAAUCUCUUGGUUACAAAGCAAAAGCAUUUCAACUGAACAGCAUCAUAGAAGUUUGGGGAUUGGGAUACCUAUAAAAUGAGUUUGGUUUUUUAUGAUUACAAUUUAAAGCUAUCUUGGAUUUUUUAUACCAUUCCUCUGAUAGCAUAACCAGUGUGACUAAAUGUGUCGAAUUCUGAUAUUUAGAUCAAAGGAUAACAUUCUGUAAUUUGUCCCCUUGCAUUGAAGUCAACGUUGCUGUUAUCUGGAAUUCUGGUGACUGAUGCGACUAAGAAACUUCAACCCUAAAAUUUACAUAAAUGGUUUACUUAGGACUAUUGCUACUUCAAACGAACAUCUAAACUGCCUAAAGGUGAUUCAGCAUGUUGAACAAUGUACAAGAAGAAAUUACUAUCUACUUUUUGAUACAGGUUGCAUUUAGCUUGGUUUGUGCUUUUCUGCAAGAUACUGGACUAAAGUGAGUUAAGUGAUGACAUUUUUUUUUUUUUUUUGUAGGAUAUUCCUGAUAUUGUUGGAGACAAGAUAUAUGGUAUUGAAUCUUUUAGUGUCCGAUUGGGUCAAGAGAGGGUUAGUUCUUAAACAUUGUUCACAAAAAUUCCAGGUCAAGGUCUUAUUUUGCUUUGCUUUUCCCCUGGUUGGUCCUGAUUCAAUUAUGACAGGUGUUUUGGAUUUGUAUAUCCCUUCUUCAAAUGGCUUAUAUUGUCGCUAUUUUUGUUGGAGUGACAUCUUCCCAACUCUGGAGCAAGUACAUUAUGGUAAGGAUCUCUUCCUAAAGUAUUACUUUGUCAUUGUGAGGCAUCGAAGCACUAAACUUGCACUCAUACACAGUUCUGAAAAGUUAGGAGUUUCAUUUGCAAAACUUCUUUACAUAGGUUUCUUCCAUAAUUAAAUUCAGUAGCGAUUAACUAGCAUCAUACUACAGUCUUAAUACAUCGUAAAAUUCAGGUUGGUGGUCACAUCCUCUUGGCUUCAAUCCUUUGGAGGCGAGCCAAAUCUGUUGAUCUGGAAAGCAAGACACAAAUAAUAUCCUUUUACAUGUUCAUCUGGAAGGUACAGUCUCGUUCAAACUAUGAAAUUGGAUAUUCUAAAACCAAAAUGAAACUUUAGCCUAUCAAACAAGUGAGAGUUUUUUCUUUUUCCUUUCUACUUUUAUAUUUCUUGAAGAAAACAUUUCCAUUCCUUUUAUUUAACCUUGCAUGAUUGCAAUGUCCAAAUGGUAAACCAACUCUUGGAUGUUUGCUCUAGAGACCAGCUCACUGAUGUGUGUCCUUAUUGGCAGCACAUGAUUUAAUUUGCAUCCAAACUAUUGACAAAUGGCACUAAGCUGGGUAGCCAUUAACCAUUUUAACUUUCUGUACAUAUUUGGUGCAUACUACUAAGAGAAAUGGGGUGUUUAGACCCAUACAUACAUCAGAAAGUUCUCUGGUGUUCUUUUAUACACAUGCUUAUUUUCCUGCAUCUUUGAAUUUAGCAUCAGUACAAAACUAAAAAUGCGUUUUGGAACGUUUUGCAUUUUGCAGCUCUUUUAUGCAGAGUAUUUCCUCAUACCUCUAGUAAGGUAAGCUGGAGAAAUUUAAAGAGAAUGGCCCCCCAUUUGUCUGCCUCAUGGCAUGACAAGGCUUUUUCCUUUUCCUUUUUUUUCCCUUAUGCACCCCUGUGGCUUUGUAUCAAGUAUAUAUAUAUGGCAAGCAAGGAUGCUUAGAUUUGUACUCCAUGCAAAAAAGACUGACAUAGUCUUGGACUCGAAUACUUCUAAUUCUAGCCAUGAAAUCCUAUUUCAAAGUCAUUGUUGUCAUUUUCCCUCUUAACCAUUUACUGAAUUCAGGAGUUAAAAUUUCUUGAUGAUUGUGGUACGCAUGCUUUUUUUUUCUUUCUUUCUGAUAGUUAUAUGGAUUAUUAAGUGAAAGAGUGGGAAAAAAAAAAAAAAGAGGAAGAUAAUCCUAAACGAGGAUGCAAAUGCUCAGUAUAAUUGGGUGGUAGAUAAAUGAAUACGCCUUAAUCUAAUAGUUAAAGUUGAGGUCUGAGAGUUUUGAACUUUGAGUUUAAAUUAGAUUCUCUGUCCUCUUUUCUAUUCUUUAAAUUCCACCAUUUCCUAUUUUUUUUUAAAAAAAUUAAGAAAGAAAAAUUAGGUGCUGUAACUUAUGGACCGGUAGAGAUGGAGCUGGUGGGCUCGCUGAUCUUCACUAGACCAUGGCGGAGCCGAAGAUUGGAGGGUUGAACUGUCGGUUUGGUUGGGUUGGGUUGGGCCCAGACCAUGACUAGGACUUUUCUAGUUCUCCUUCUUCACCUUUAUUCCAAGAAAACUUCCAAGAAAACUACCUCAAAAAAAGUGACCCUCGAAAAAAACGUUUAUUUCUCUGUUAUUAUAUUAAUGUUACCAAUUGACAACGUUUUCAGUCAUAAUCUAGGUGUCGGUCGUACAUUUGAGCUAAAGAAGAAAUUGCCAAAGAAUGAGACAUAUUUUAAUUUAGUCUCUUUGGGUCACCUGUUUAACUUUUGCCCGUCAGAAAGGGAUAGCUUCAACAUUGGGCCGUGGGUUGAAUAUUUUAGGUAAAUCAGGCUACGCAUUUUAGUGGGUUUAUAUUACGUAGACAGAGUGAAUUGGAUGAGUUAGGGAAAGAUGCAGGAAGCUUCCUACAAGGAUGAUGCUGCUGGCAAUUAGAAAUUAGCUCAAACUGGCAAAGCAAUUUUAGUUCAAUUAUGGUGAACGUCAUGAAUCACUAACUAGGACUACCAAAUUGCUAAAAAAAAAAAAGUAGGAGUACAAAUAGUUGACGAAGUUUUCAAUUUUUUUUUAAAUUUUAUGGGGACCGCUUUUUUUUUUUUUUUUUUCGUUGGCAUCUUAGUCAUCUUUAUGCUCAGGUAAGAUUUGGAGCUUAUUUUAUUGCUAUACAGGAUUUUUUUUUUUUUUGGGUGCCAUUUUACCUAGGUUUAGAGUUUGUUCAAAUUUUAGCUUAGUCCAUGGAGUUUGGAAUUUAAAAAAAAAAAAAAAUCUACGGAAAAGAGAAGGAUCUGAAAGUCGAAUCAGAAAGACUUCAAACCUUACAAUGAGAAAGGGGAAAGGAGAAGGUUUGAAGAUGGGAUCAAUUCACCAAGAAAGAAAGAACAAAAAAAUGAAAGUGUAAAUCAGCGUGUGAUCUCAUAGUUAGAAAUGUCCCAGUUAAUUAAGUCAAGUCUUGGAAACAUUAAAUUCCUUUUAACUUACCUGUCAAUCUUUCACUUGCUUGCCCAAAGUUUGACCUCCUCUAUUCAUUUAAAAUGAUGAUCUGUUUGAUUUGUAAUCAAUAUCACAUUCAACUAUUCAAGCCCAUAAUUAACGAGAUGGAGAUAAAUUCAAGUUGAGCUUUUGGAUGCUUUAUUGAUUAUUCUUCAACCCCAUAAAAAAUUUAAAAAAAAAAGAAGAGAGAAAAGGCAGGACAGAAGAACCAAGUUGACAAGAACAGCACGAAGGGAGGAGGAGAGACAAAGUGCGAAGGAGUGCAAUAAGGGUUGGAUGAGUGGAUGUUACAAGCCUGAAAUCCAAGUGCCUUUGUGUUUCCUAAGAUGUAUGUGGAUGAUCGAGCGUUAGAAGCUUUUCUUGAUUGGAAGUACCCAACCGAGACAACCACUAAAUUAUUUCCAAACCUGCAGUGAAAAUAAGACCAAAUGAUGAAUAGAAUCUAGCCUGCCUUUUUAGCCUCUCUCCUCCCAAUCUUCCCAUACAAUAAUGUCGAAAAGUUGAAACCAACUUUCAAGCCUGAACAUAAUGGGAGACGAGGAAUUUAAGCAAACCCCCUCAAAAAGCACUGGACGAUAAGGAGUGGGUACAAAACACAAGCAAUUUUCAAUAACACUCGUGUUAACAUGUAGUAUUCAUUUUUAGGCUUUUUAUCCUUCUGGGUACCGCUUGUAUCUUGUCGUUGCUUUUCUAGUGGAGUUUUGUUAUCUAAAUUUUCUGGGGCACCAAAAAAAAAAUGGGGGAUGAAGAUGGAGAGUGGGACCAUGAGAAUUUUUUAUCAUGGAGGAGAGUAAGGGGAGGAGACCUCUGUCCAUUCCAUCCGGCCAAAAGUUCUCAAUCAAGAGUCAAAACGGCUAUAAAGUAGAAUAUAUUCCAAAAUAGCCAGAAACUUGAGUUGCGGGGAUAGCCCUAUUCUCCCGUCCCAUGUGUCUCUUAGGCUAUACAUUCACGCAUUUGUCCCCCGUUACAGAAUCAAAUUAAGGUGUACGUGCCCAAUAAUCACCUAAAAUGGGAGAGAAAAAGGGCAAUGUAAUGAGAGGUUGGUUCUCACGGCAAUAUAUAUAUAUAUAUAUAUACUCCCUCCGUCCCAUUUUGAUAGUCCCGUUUUCCUUUUUCGUCUGUCCCAAAUUGUAGUCCACUUUCCAAUUGAAAAAUGUAGUUGUAUUUUAAUUUUCCUAAAAUGCCCUUAUUCAAUGUAAGUUGUUGUUACUAUAAACCUACCCCAUUUAAUGAGAGUUGAUUCUUUUUUUACCAUCAAUUCAAGUUCCCAAAAGUUGUACUCUAUUUAAUGUGAGGGUAUUUUAGGAAAAUAGUAAUUUAAAUUUACUUUUCCAACAAAGUUAAAUACUUUUUCUUAAACUGUAUGAAAAAAGGAAUGGGACUAGCAAAGUGGGACGGAGGGAGUAUAUUGUUUAUCAAACUUUAAGGACCAAAUCUACUAUAGUAGUAGUUAAAUUUGAGAAUCAAGGAAUUAGUAGUCCCCACAAAUUUGCCUUCCAUGAACUUCAAACAUGAAAAUGUUUUGGUUUAUCUGCUCGUUAUUUUCCAUGGAGGGAUGGAAUUUGAAAACGGGAAUGGAGCAGAGAAUUAGAAUUUAGAAUCGAGAACCUUGGAGUCUCUACCCUUAGUCCUUAGACCUUGGUUUAUCUAACCUUCAUCGUAAAGCAUGUUGAAAAAGUGAACUUGCAAAGAGGCCAACUUCAAGUUGGGCACGCAAGGAAAGUGCGUGCUAUUACCAUUGGACGAGUAUUUGAGACAAAAGAUGAGAGAGAGAUUUUGGGUCAUAAUCAAACAAAACAAUUACGGCUUGCUUCUUCCACUCAUUAAAAAUGGGAUUUAAUUCUCGAUGCCUCUCCAUCUACCAUCUCCCUAUCCUUUCCUUCGUUUGGUUCUCUCUCUCUCAUCCUCCCUUUACUGAUAAAUUAGGAAGAAGAACAUCUUUUGGGUUUUGUAAGAAUCAAUGAUCUAUACUAGUCGCUUAGAAAAAUUCAUUAUGCUAAGACAUUUGGAAAUGACUAUCCAAUCACCCGUAAUAUCAUAUAUAGGUUUGACUAUGAAACAGUUUGAAGUAUGUGGAUAGCCACCGACGACGAUGAGAUCACUAUCUACAUUGCUUAUUCCCUCUGCUGCUCUGCUCAAAUUUUCAACUUCCAUAUUUUUCCAGGGAAGGUUCUACUCUAUUUUCUAUAUGCUGCCCAGAAGCCAAAUUUACCACAAACGUCGCUCUCUUUACUUCCUACACUUGGCUCCUGGUCAUCAAAAAUCCCACGCCUGGUACGAAGUUGAAAAACUCCAGAGAACAUGAAACUUCCUCUAGAGAACUGUAUGUACUUGGCCUUUUCAGAAAGCUGCGGACAUGUAUGGUUUCUGCUGGAGUGAUUGCUGACUUCAUUAUUUUUAUAGCGUCAAAAAUCAGUUGCAUAAUCUACCCCGCUUUUGAGUCAUUGUUGAUGUCAACUAACAGCCAACGUUUCACUUUGACUGCAAUUUUAUCUCCAUUAUUGGGACUCUGGACGUAAGCAUGUAAUUAAAAUAGGGUGAAUAAUCUCGCGGACUAAGACACAUUUAAUUGCCACUAGUUUAAAUUGAAGGGCUAUAGUUGUUGACAAACAAUGCAAAGUAGUAGGUAUGAUAUGAAAGCCCUUCUACAGUGAAAAACAGGUAUUAGCCGUACAAAUUGCAAAAUCAUGGUGAUUUCAGCUCUAAUUAAUUGAUUGUACAAUAUAAUAUGAGUGCGUGCAUGUCUUCAUGUGAAUGUCCAGUAUCGCUCGCGAAAUGCUGAAUUUCUUUUUCUUUUUUUUUUUUUUUAGUGGUUGCAGACAGAGAGCUCUGUGCAGAUAUCUAGUAGACAAGAAACCUGGAAAAUUUAGGCCAACAAAAUCUACUUUAUGGGGUGGAUCUCAUGGUUUAGUUGUCUAAAAGGACAUUAAAGCCAGCCAAAAGCCAUACUCUCAUGAGUCCAUGCGUCACGACUCACUGCAAAGGUAAAGCAAAAUAAGAAUGGAGAUAUUAGAUUUAUUUAACGAGUGCUCAACGAGUAUUAAAUUAAUAAUUAAGGAGCACUUCAAAUAUGAGUUUCUCUUUUUAAAGGAAUGCCUUUAGAUUUUUUUUAAAAAAACCCUUGUCACUAUCGUAAGCAAAUUCAAGUAUUAACUAAUUUAUUAUGGCCAGUGAACUAAACAAGUUUUGCGACUAGCGGGUGCAAGCGUAGCCUAAUUGAUAAGACAUUUCAUCUGUAAUCUACAAGUCACGAGUUCGAAUUAUCUAAGAGGUAAGUGAGGAGUCACGGUUGAUCCUCUUUUUUUUUUUUUCUUUUUUUUAUAAAAAGACAUAUUAAUGUAUAUUUAAUUAGUGAAUAACUCUAUUAUCAAUUUAUCAUGUGUUCGGAUGAGAUAACAUCAGAAGAUGCUUGCUACUCAUCCGUGAAUAAAAGUGAAUUACUUCAUUCGAGCUUUUGCUGUUUAAUAGAUAUCAUUUUUCCCCCUCAUAACCGGUUCAAUUGGUGCAAAUAUAAUUGACAUCAGAAUCAUGAUCUCCUGAAACUCUCACUUGAAUGGUUGACUUUUACUUCUAUAGUUGGUAAUUUCGUGUAAGUUUGCCAAUAAAAACCCAGAGACAAAGACAAUGAAAACGACCAAAAAGGCUAAAUAUAUCUUCUAUUUUGGCAAAAUGUGUCUAGCGGCACCAUAAUUGUACUCUGAUUACGUUUUCCUCAGCAUUAUUAGAAAAGAAAUCUGGCAAAGUGAUUGAAGAAACCAGCAAGUAUGAAUUGAAUUGAAUUUUCAAACAAGCAGGCUACACGUGUUGCCAAAUGGCUCUUAAAUAUCUGGUUCUCGAUGCUUUCAAUCAAAUGAUGCCAAUUAUUCUGCUUAAGCUGUAACGUAACUUGCAGGGAAAUAAUCAACAAUAUUCAAACCACGAGACCUUGAGAAUAAACCAUCAUCCUCCAGCCCGGGUUACUUUGAUGAGGCCAAAAACAGCUAUAGUUUUCGCCAUCGAACACAAAGGGGUCCAGAUUCGGCCGACAAGAUUCGACGGUGCAAAGUUUUAUAUAUAAGCACUAACAAACCAUUUUGUGCUGUCGUUUCAUGUAAAACUACAAAUUGUAACGAAAAACCAAAGGGAAUAGCAAUACCAUAAAUAAACGAGUGGGAUUGGGUGCCGUAGCUGUGCGAGCUUCUUGUGCAGUAGUUUUCGUCUUCAUCAUUAACGUAAAUCAGACGAAAAUUUUCUUUUGAACUAUGGUUCGGUUAUAUUCAAACUACUGUUCCAUUGUUCUACAACUAACGUCCUUUUUUUGAGCAAGGACCAAUACUUUUACCAAGUUUGACUUUGAGCACUCAAAUUUAUAUCUUACCUCAUUUUACAUUUUUAAUUUUGAUACUUAUGAUAUUGGACUAGCUAAUAAUGGUAGCAAUAUAAUGUUACCAUAUAUAAAAAAAUAUCUAAAUUUUGAGUGCAUUUUUUCUGGCAACGCUUCCGUUUGCCACCAUAUGAUAUGAGUGCUCUUUUUAUGUGUUCAGGGAAAGAAGUUUUUAUCUCAACAAACAUUUCAUUUCUUUCUUUCUGAAGGACAAAGCGGUUCGAGAAUUGAAUGAGAUAAGUAAGGAAGAUAAACCGGGAAAAUUUUAAAUUCAGGAGGCAGGGCUGCAAACUUUUGUGUUCAACUUUGGAUGCCAAAGUCAAAAGAACAUUUUAAAUUAGAUAUCAAGCUUAUCUACGAGGCCCUAUCCACAAAAAUUAUGAUGAUAAAUAAGUACCAAGUUUUCCAAUUUAUCUCUUAAACUUCCAAGCUUACCCACUUUUUCUUCUUUCUCCAAGUACGAAGUUUCUCAGUUUAUUUCGUCUCUUAAACUCCCAAGCUUACCAACUUUUUUCUUCGCUCUCUAAGUAAGAAGUUUCUCAAUGGGAUAAUUUCAAAAACCUCCCCUGAGGUUUCUGAUAAUUUCACUAGCCUCCCCAAAAGUUACACAAUUUCACAAACCACCCCUACGAUUAAGGUUUUUAUAACAAAAUUAGUCCAAUUAGAAAAAAAGUAUUUUAAGAAGAGAGAUGAAACUUUAAUUCCAUAAAUCCCCGUUAUGCAUAUAUAUAAAUUGUGUUAGUAAAAAAUAAAAAUAAUUAAAAGUUAGAAACAAUUAAUACAUACAUUUCAUUAUUCAAAAAGUUUAUAUUUAAUAAAUUAGACAACACAAAUAAGUAACAAAACUACACUAACGAUCACAAGAUUCAGCAAAAUAGACUAGUCAUCUCUUUUAACAUGGUGUUUGCUAUGAUUCUUAUGAUUUUGAACAAAAAUUUUUUUAACAUUUUGCCUUUCUUUUCCCUCUUCUUCCAUUAGAUAUAUUAAUUGAUGUUAUUUUGUAAAUACAAGUCAUCGUUCAUUAUUAAUGAACUUUUCAACAGUUAUUUGCAUUAAUUAGUUACUAAUAGUUAAUUAGUACUCUAAUUACUUAAUCGUUAGAUAUUAGUAAAUGAAAAUGAAUGAAAAAGAAAGACAAAAUUUGAAAAUUUUUAUUAAUCAAAAUCACAAGAAUAAUAGCAAAUAUCAUGUCAAAAGAGAUGACUAGUUUGUUUUGCUGAAUCUUGUGAUCAUUAGUGUAGUUUUUUACUUAUUGGUGUUGUCUAAUUUAUUAAAUAUAAACUUUUUGAAUAAUGAAAUAUAUGAAUUAAUUGUUUCUAACUUUUAAUUAUUUUUAUUCUUUUACUAAUAAAACUUAUAUACAUGCAUAACGUGUAUUCAUGAAAUCUAAGUUUUAUCUCUUUUUUUAAAGUAGGUUUUUAAUGUUAUUUUUUCUAAUUAGACUAAUUUUAUUAUCAAGACCUUAAAAUUUUAUUAUCAAAAUCUUAAUUUCAGGAGAGAUUUGCAUAAUUUUAUAAACUUUAGGGGAGACUAGUGAAAUUGUCAAAAACCUCAGGAGAGGUUAUCCCUUUCUCAAUUUAUCUCUUGAACUUCCAAGCUUACCAACUUUUUCUUCUCUCUCUCUCUCUUAGGAGUUGAGCUCUCUUUUUCUUUUGUUUUCUUUUUAAAAAUCUCAAACCAGGCUUUAGUUUUUUUUUUUUUUUUUGUCAGCAACAAUACAUUUGUAUAACCUACUCUAUCCUAAUAUAGGGGGAAGGGGGAGUCUAAGGAGGCUGUGAUGGGGGCUAGUGGACAUACAGAUCCAACUAGACUAAGGGAGUGUUCUGGCGCAACUCUUAGAUUUUUUUCGCUGUAGGUGAGGUUUGAACCCUCACCUACAACCCAAGGAGGGACUUAAACCCUUCCCUGGUGGCCACUGAACCAUUGGCCCAGUGGUUAAACCAGGCUUUAGUUAGGUUUCCCUCCCAGAGGAACGUCUUGUCAAUAUAGCUAAAGAUCAGGGAAAAUGGGUGGCACGAGCCGGAGAGGGACAUGCAUAUGAAUUGGAUGUUUCAAUGGCGUUGAAUCGUGGUCAUUUGGGUGCGAACAAAUACUACCACUUGCUAAGAAAUUUAUCCAAGAAAUUUAACAAUUCAGGGAAUCUGAAGGUCAGGACUCGGGAGAAGAGGCGGUCCAAAUCGGGAGAAGAAGCGGUCCAAAUCGGAAGGUUAAGUUCUUGUUUAAUAAUCUAAUUCAACAUUUAUCCUUAAUGGAUUCAAAUAUUAACAUAUUUAUAUGUCUUUAAUAAUCAAAAUUUAAAAUAUUUGAAUUAAUUAAGUGGCACUGAAUUUUGUAAGCAAAAUUUAUUCCUAAAAAUAAGUGAUAAAUUAUUCACUUAUCUCUUAAUUUGAUAUACACUCAAAUAUAUUAGAUUUAAUACUUAACAAUUCAAAUAAAUGAUAAAUUAUUUAUUUAUCACUUUAACGUGAAUGUAUCAAAUUUAAUAUUUAAUAUUUAAUAAUUUCAAAUUUCAAAUUUUAAAUUUCCUUUUUCAAAAACUUCAGUUUCAGAGAACGCACCCUAAAUCUUUUUGUAAUGCGGUCCUUUGUUUUACCGGGACUAUGACCUCCCACUUACUUUAUAAUUUAAAAAAAAAAAAAAAAAACCGGCGUUAUUGACUAUGUUAUUGCACAGUGGAAUACUCACAUCGAAAUCACAAAUGUGUUUGACGUUUUUAGGCUUCAAAGGGGCGACGACUUUCUGUUGUAGGGGGCCCCGCUCUAUUAAAGUCAAUCUCUUUUGUCAUAAAAUAAAUCACUGUCACUGCCAUUUUCCUAGCAAUGAUAAACGCUCACAAGAUAUGUAUAUUAUUGAGCUGGGAAUUUUUAAUUUCUGAAAUUUUCAGUGGAGUAAUGAAUUGUUAGUAGUUUUUUUUAUAGCGCAAAGUAUUAGUGUGGGCCAUGCAAAAGCUAGAGUUGGCGAAAUUAUCACAUGACAUUUCCCAUUUUCAACGGUUUUCCGUGGCCAUGAUAGUCAUUGACCAUGUGUUGCAUUUGAUACGGACGGAUUUAGGUCCCCGUAAAAUUACAAGGGAUAAUGCUUCCCGAAAAUCAAGAGCCAUAAUCUCGUUAGAUUGCUAAUAUUUGCUUUUGAUUUUAACUUUUUGUGUAUGUAUGUUUGCGUUCUCACAGCAAACAUUGCUAUUAUCGAAAUGAAAUAACAAAUUUCAUUCCCAAAAACCGGUUUAAGUGACGACUUUGAGAGUGUUUGAAUAGGAAAUUAUUUGAAAUAAUAUUUAAAAUAAUUAUAAUAGUACUUUUUAUUGCAUAAUGUACGUAAGACAAAAGAUAGUUGACAAUAUAAAAAAAAUUUUAUUGAAAAAUGUAUCUAUAAUAAAAAAUAAAUAGUAUUUUGUAAAUAAGUCUCAAUCCAAACAAACCCAUAUCAAUUAGAUAACUAAAGGCUUUUUAAUUCAAUUAUCAAAUACUUCCUUUUUCCCUUAUUCUAGUAGAGUUUAGGAUCUCUAUUUUUUUUUAAAAAAAAAAAAAAAGAGCAAAAUUCAUGUUAGCGUAUGAGUUACAUUACGCUUUUUGGAGCUGUUGCUUAUUUUGAGUGAUAGAUUUGAUUGUCUAUAAGACUAAAACAGAAGAUAGUUGAGGCCCCAGUCACCAAAAAUUUUUUAUUUUUGGUCUAUGACAUCAAAAUUUGAUGGAUAUAAAUCGGAUUUUCUCCUCGAACUUUGAAUACAAAAUGAAGGAUGGUCCUUCAACGCUCGGAAACAAUAUAAUUUUCAGCUCCUAAAUUGUUUAUUGCAUCGGUUUUCUCGAAAUAUUUGAGCUGAAUUUGAAAAAUCCUCUCAUUUGAGCUUCUAUACAGAAUUUCACGGAACUUGUAAAGCAACUUCUAAAGUGAACAUAUAGAUUGAACAGUUCCAUUCAUUGUACCUCUAAAGCCACCACUGGUUAAGAAUUUUGACUUCACUUUUUGAGAGGUAAAAUUUGAGCAACUUUAAAUACAAUUCCCCACCUAACAAGAAGAUUAGAGUCGUAACUCGUCUUCUAAAAAUUUUAAAAUAAUACUAUAAAAAGAAACAAAAACUUGUACUCCCUCCCUUUUUUUAUAACUGACAUUUAAAGUUUUGCACACCAAUUAAGAAAAAUUUUUCAUUGUUUAAAUCUAUACACUACUUUCCUUUUGUACCCUCAUUAAUUGUCCAAUUCACCCAUAUUUUCUCUCACUAGAGUAUUAAAUGGUGCUGUUUUACUAGGCCAAAAGCAAUGCAAACUAACUCCCACCAAUUAUGAAAAGAGAGAUAAAAUGGUAAAUUUGUGAAAAAAUAAUUAAUGCUACAUGGGGAUAAUAAAACGACAGAUAAAAGUACUUAAGAGCAAAUUUCUUAAACGUCAGUUAUAAAAAAAGGGAGGGAGUAUUAUUAAAGUGGCAUCAAAAAAUGGGAAAAGAUCUCCCCCAGGGAAACAUAUUUCUCCUGCUGCCCCGUAUGUGCGUGAGUCGACUACUAACAUUGAAUUUAAGGGCAGCAGAUAAUAAAUGAUAGUACUCCCUUCGUCCCACUUUGAUAGUCCUGUUUUUUUUUUUUCACACAGUUUAAGAAAAAGUAAUUAAUUUUGUUGGAAAAGUAAAUUUAGAUUGCUAUUUUCCUAAAAUACCCUCACAUUAAAUAUGGUACAACUUUAUGGGAACUUGAAUUGAUGGUAAAAAAAGAAUCAACUCUCAUUAAAUGGGGUAGGUUUAUAGUAACAACUACUUACGUUGAAUAAGGGUAAUUUAGGAAAAUUAAAAUACAACUACAUUCUUCAAUUGGAAAGUGGAAUAUAAUUUGGAACAGACGAAAAAGGAAAACAGGACUAUGAAAAUGGGACGGAGGGAGUAUAUAAUAUAUUUUUUUUCUUUCCGAGGAAAGCAGUUGCUUCUAUUACUACUACCAGAAGAACUUAAUUAGUGUACUAUAAUAUACUAGCACUGUACUAACAUAAAAGAAUGGGAAAAUGAUUGUGUCAGACCAGGUUUCAGUUUCCUAGAACAAGUACUACUAAUAUAGCAUCACGUACAACAUUCUAGUAGUACCUUACCGUUAUAGCAGGUGUACCCUCCCAGCCUGACAAAUUAAAAGGAGAAAGGGUUGGUGGGGCAAUUAAUUAUCUUGCACAAAUAAUGGUUGCCAUGUUGACAAGCUGAUGGUAUCCUUUUUCUGGCCUUUGGGACCCACAAAGGCAGCCCAAUUUGGACGGCGAGUGCGUGAGGAAGGUUGGCACCCCGAUGCAUCAUGCAGGUGCACCCGGCUAGAAGCGUGAGGUAGCCGGGGAGAAACAAUUGGAAAGUAAUUGGCACAUUUGAUCCUUGAACUUUACUCUUAGUUUCGAUUUUGUCCCUGAUACUUGAAGACUAAUUUGUAAAUUCCCAAAAUCCCCAUAUAUGUAUGGUUCGAAAGCUAUUUAUUUAGUCAUUAUAGCCAAAAAACUAAAAGUUACUUCUCAAUAAAUAGUGUGUUUUAUGUGAAGAUGCGUCAAAGUCAAUUAUUGUGAGCCGCACGGGAUUACGAGUUCGCAUGGAUUGGAAUUUCUCAUCCUCCUUCAUUUAUCUUUGAAAAUCUUCCUUCUGACCUAUAGCAUUUUAUCAACGAAAGGCUAAAAGCUAUAUUUUGGUUGAAAUUCUCGGUCAUUUUUAUUUGAAAAUUUUUGGAAAGUACAUUUAUGAGUUGUGGAAUGUACAAUUUAAUUAUUAAUGUUUCGAUUGUUUCAUCCAAAUCAAUGAUAAUAGAAGACGUAUAAGCACAUGAUUUUUUUUUUUUUUUUUGUUAACGCCGGCUUAGUGAUCUAGUAGUAGCAUUUUUUGCUCUUAAAUGCCGAGGAACAAUAGCUUUAAACAUGCUACGCACUUCCUUUACAAAUACUAAAGAAGAGAAAUGAACCGUCAAGAGGUAAAAGUGGAACCAAGCUUCAGGACCAAAUUUGGAAAAUCUCAUUUAGUUAAGCUCCUCGAAUAGAUUCUAAUAAUAACCAAAAAUACAUAUAUCUAUAAAGUAAAUUUUAUUUAUAUUGACGGCGUAUACACUAUCAAAAUUGGAUAUACGUUACAUAUGCAAAAUUUAAAUUCGAAUUAUGUGUCAUAAAUUUAAUGAUAAAAAGUGUAUAUACUGUCAGCGUAUAGAAAAUUAAUCAAUAUUUAUAUUAUGUAGGUAAAAAAAUUUUGCCGAAUUAAUAUUGAGAGAGAGAGAGAUAAAAUGUGCAUGCCUAUAAGUGAGAGAGACCGAGGGAGAAACAAAGGGGCCACUUGAGGGGUUGGGGUUGUAAGCAAGAUUGAGACUUUUGGAGCUGGUUGCAUCUCUAUUCUCUUCGUGCCCUUGAGGAGGUUUGUUUAGGCAGAGCAGGUAUAAAAACGCACCCCCUCUUGGCCUCAUCUCACUUCAAAGAGAUCAGAACCCCUUUUAAACCGUAGCCUUGUUGCGGGUUGUGGCAGGAUUGUGUGUUCUGCCGCCUGUCCCUCCCCUCAUCUCACCUCCCCCACGCCCAAUCCCCAACCCUCUAGUAUUAGUGAUGUACUAGGACUACUUUCCUAGGGGAUUGUAAUAACUCAUUCAAUGAAUCUUUGAUAUAAACUCUUCUAUCUCCUCUUCAUUCAAGUUCUCUCCAUCCCUUCUGCUGGGAAACUCUUUUAACUCUUUUUGUGUCUUUACCAAGUAGUUCGCGUAUAUAUAUAUAUACGGGGAUAGCUCUAGCGGCGGUGAGGAGGCGAGGCAGCGACACCAGUCAUGGGUGGCGACAAGGCUAUCAGUCUUGAAGAGAUCAAGAAUGAGACCGUCGAUUUGGUAAAACUCUCUUCCUUCUUUCUCCCUUCUCCAUCGUUUGACUUUGGUGAAUUUUUGCUUUCAUAUCCAUUCUCAAUUGGAUAACAGAAAAAACAGGGAUCCAUCAAGUGCCCUUUUCAUCCCUUAAACCUUAAUUCCCAAUCACCUACUACCUGCUAUACCGAUGAUCUGCUUCACUUUUAGUAUUCCUGAUAGUCUCUCUCUCUCUCUCUCUCUUAAAAAAAGAAAGAAAUUCUUUUCCAUUCUUUUAGCUGUUUUUAACUUCAGUAAAUCUGUUUUUGUGCGUGAAACGAGAAAUCCUAAGAUGCUUUGCUUGUAGAUACAUAAACCUUUCCAGUUUUCGUUCUCCUCAUGGUCAAACAUGAACUAAUUUCACCAGCAGUUUUCAGAACCAAAUUCGAUUUUGGGCCACUCCAGUUUCACUGGCCUAACCUUUUUCUAUCCUCUGUGUUGCCCUGCCCCUUUUCACUGCUUUUAUUGUUAGCUUCGUUUCGGCGCAAAUUGCUCGGCAGAUUCUCUUUUGUUCCCACCACGCACGCACGCACUCAUGCAAACCUAAAUACUCACUCCUAAUUAUCAUUAUUUGUUUAUUCUUAAAGUAAACAAAUAAAAUUAUUAAGUAUUCUGAAUAUUUUCAAUUACGUAAUAAUUGUCAAACUUGAUUAUUCUCAAUCCAUGAUUCCAUCUCUCAGCAAAAAAAAAAAUUUUUCCUGAGAUUUUCCUUUUCGGAUGCUUUCAAUUACUAGUAUUAUAGUAGCGUACAAGAAAAUUUUGACUAGUCAUGGAAAGUAAAUUUUGAUACGUACAUAGAUGUGCGAGAAUGGUGCGCGGGGCCAAUAGUAGAAAAAAGAAAAAAAGACGAAGACUUAGCGUUAUAGCCAUAGCCAUAGGUGCAACUACGGGAAAAUAAUUACUCCUAUGAUUUUGAUAUGAGAAGAGUUUUCCAUUUUGGAUCGGACUAUAUAUGGUCUGGUCAAUUUGCAUUUUAUUUUAAUUGUACCACUGAUAAUCAUAUCCUGUUAAAUUUGCUACGAUUACGAAGCCAUGUUCACCUGAUGUGAUUGGAAGUUUUGGUCAAUAGUUUAUCAGUCUAACAAACCAGCCCAUUUUAUGUCAUAUACGCUGGCUUGUGUACUUUGAUUAGUCCCUAGCUAAAUAAAUAGGUAACUAAACCAUGUUGUUCUGGAUAACUGCUUUAUUUUGUCAUUCCUUAUCUUUUUGUCCAGCAAUUAGAAAUUUGUCUUUCAACUUAAUCCCAAAAUUACCAUCAUUAAGCGAUGAGCAAUACUUGUAGCGGAUAUCUGUAUCUUUUAUCUUGUUUUAAAUUAUGUGUUUGGAUUGGAGAUUUAUCUAAAAUAAUAUUUUUGAAAAAUGCGGUGAUACUGCCUUUUUGUGAUGCGAUAUACCUUAAAUGAAAAGGAUACUGAAAAAAUAAAAAGAUUGUUGAAAAAUGUGUUUGUGAUAUAAUCAAAAACUAUUUUACAAAUAAAGCUCAAUCCAAACACACUUGACCCACUCUGUACAAGAUCUAAGCACAAAAACAUAAAAAUUAAUUCCGGUAAAAAUUAAAACGUAUAUAGGACUUUUUCACAUAUGUAAUUUGUCCCUAAUGGCGAAAGUAAGGCUUAAUUACCAAUUAAAACUUGCAGUACGUUUUCUUUUUUAUUACGACUGUUGGUUGUGUCAGAUUUGUGUUUUUUUAGGUUGGAACUUUUCCAUGUACCUUUCCGUGGUACCAUUACACUUGCUCUGGAUUGAUGGUUCGUUUUGGAAUUUACCUCGGCCUGCCCGGCCUAACGGUUUUCUGACUGGUCCGCAAUUUCGGUUAUUUCCUUUGUUACCCCCCCUUUUUUUUUUGACGAUUCAGGCUGGCACCCGCCCCUGGAUUAGUUAAUUAUGGAAAUAUUUUUAAUGAAAAUAAUAGUAAAUCUUACCCGUUGGUUUUCCCGAUAUUUCAAGGAUGCCGUCUUUUCUUCGUGGUUGGGGCCUGUGGGGGGGGGGACCGGGGGAGCAAUACUGCCUAAUAGGUCAGGAAGAGCGUGACGCGACCCAUAUCUUCGUUACUUUUGCUUUUUGGCGCGUGAUGGACACGUGAAAGGUGGCUUACAAAGGCUGGGCUAGUCAAUUGGUGUGAUUGGUGGGGAUGGCCCUGGGCCGUUCUUUUGGGAUUGGGAACUUGUUUGUGGGGUCCAUUGCCCAAGUCGAAAGUCAACUUAGAUGACUCACACAUCCGUAUGAAACUGUACUUUUGGUGUCCUAGUACAGUAGUAGGAGUAUUAUUCAUGUGACUAACAGCCUAACAGGUAUCCGAGUGCGUGACUGAGAAAGUGUUGUGAAGCUGCACCAUUAAUAAUCAAAAAGUAAAGCUACCCAAUAAUUAUCCUAAUGAUUAGUUGAUAAUUGUUUAAAUUAAAUUAAAAAUUUAAAUUGAUUGAUAGAAAUGUUUAAGAAAUAUCAGUCCACUUGGAAUUUUUUUUUUAUUUUCCUUUUUUUCCCCCUCACAAACGGAGGAUGCCCUUUUAGAGUUGAACAAGCCCUUUCAUUUAAGUUGUAGGGAGCAUUUUAACUUAAAUUUGUUAAUUGUACAUUAUUUUCAUAUUCAUAACGUGAUGGCUCAUUUUUAUUUCUUGUCUCCAUCUGACUUUGGUAUCAGAUCUGGAUAGUGCAAAAGCUAUACUCAAAUAGAUGUUUAAAGCUAAGCAAAGAUCAGAAUUGUAGUCAAUGUAUUUGAAUAUCAAUCAGCUUUGUGAAGAGUGGUGGCUUCUAGUUUAGUUUCAAGUUGUGUUAGUGGAACUUCUAUGUGACACGGUGCCUAGCAAUAAGCAUUGGAUUUUGUUACUCGGAUUCAGAAGUACUCAUUUUGCUGAUGGACUUUAAUCAGUGCAUUAAAAUGAUCCCUGAGACAAUAAGCUGAAUGAUUUGAUUUUUUUUCUUGCUUUCUGCCGUCUAAUUACAGGAAAAAAUACCCAUCGAGGAAGUGUUUGAGCAGUUAAAAUGUACCAGGGAAGGUUUAUCUUCAGAGGAAGGAGCCAACAGAUUGCAAAUCUUUGGCCCCAACAAAUUGGAAGAGAAAAAGGUAUGUUUUAUUCUUAUUAAUUUUAUUUAUUAAUGGCUUCAUAAUUACUCUAGUUUCUAGUUUGCAAGUAUCUGAAUGUCAUUGUACUUUGUAUAAUUUCUUCAACCUGUUCGCAGGAAAGCAAGAUACUCAAGUUCCUUGGUUUUAUGUGGAAUCCACUUUCGUGGGUCAUGGAAGCUGCUGCUAUCAUGGCUAUUGCACUGGCAAACGGAGGUGGUAAGGACCCUGAUUGGCAGGAUUUUGUUGGUAUUGUGUGCUUGCUCGUUAUCAACUCCACUAUCAGUUUCAUUGAAGAGAACAAUGCUGGAAAUGCUGCUGCAGCUCUUAUGGCUGGUCUUGCUCCAAAAACUAAGGUACCAAAUUCACACGCCUUUACAUCUAACUAUCAUCUUGGAAUUCACCUUUCACCAAUCACUUUUUUAAAACUGGCCAGACUCACAUAUGCCAAUAAACAAAUAAAACUAAACAAUUACGUACAUUAGCUUCUUAUGUCUUAUUCCGGCUGGUAAAAAUAGGUGCUUAGAGAUGGCCGAUGGAGUGAACAGGACGCAGCUAUUCUGGUUCCUGGAGAUAUUAUAAGCAUAAAAUUGGGGGAUAUCAUCCCUGCUGAUGCUCGUCUUCUCGAAGGUGAUCCCUUGAAGGUGGAUCAAUCUGCCCUUACUGGAGAGUCCCUUCCUGUUACAAGGAAUCCAGGUGAAGAAGUUUUCUCUGGUUCAACAUGCAAACAAGGGGAGAUUGAAGCUGUAGUUAUUGCUACUGGUGUCCACACUUUCUUUGGCAAGGCAGCACAUCUUGUGGACAGCACCAACCAAGUUGGGCAUUUCCAGAAAGUGCUAACCGCCAUUGGAAACUUCUGCAUCUGCUCCAUUGCCGUGGGAAUGUUGAUUGAGUUAAUCGUCAUGUACCCCAUUCAACACAGAAAAUAUAGAGACGGAAUUGACAAUCUCCUUGUUCUCUUAAUCGGAGGCAUUCCCAUUGCUAUGCCCACUGUCUUGUCUGUUACAAUGGCUAUUGGGUCACACAGGCUAUCUCAACAGGGUGCAAUUACAAAAAGAAUGACUGCCAUUGAGGAAAUGGCUGGCAUGGAUGUCCUCUGCAGUGACAAGACAGGAACUUUGACUCUUAACAAGCUUACUGUUGACACAAACUUAAUCGAGGCAUUUGCAAAGGGAGUAGACAAAGAGCAUGUUCUACUUUUGGCUGCAAGGGCUUCUAGAGUAGAAAAUCAGGAUGCAAUUGAUGCUGCCAUUGUAGGGACGCUUGCUGAUCCAAAGGAGGUAUCACUGUCAUUUUGAACCCUUCCAAAUCUUUCUUUGAUAUAAUUUUGGACAAUUAAAACCUCUGACUUUGCUGUUCUUCCUAUAUUUGGUUUAAUAAAGAUCAUGCUGUUAUUUCCAUUAUGCUCUGUAGGCACGAGCUGGUAUCAGAGAAGUCCAUUUCUUGCCCUUUAACCCUGUGGACAAGAGAACUGCUUUGACUUAUAUUGAUGCCGAGGGCAACUGGCAUAGAGCUAGCAAGGGAGCCCCAGAGCAGGUGUUAAUAUAGAUCCAUUUAUUCAGCUCCCUUCUCCACAAACAAAUAGCUCAAAGUUCAAAGACAAUCACUAAAAUCAUGUUUUAUUAUGUGUUACCAGAUUCUAACUCUCUGCAAUGCCAGUGAAGACUUUAAAAGGAAGGUUCAUGCUAUCAUAGAUAAGUUUGCGGAACGUGGGUUGCGAUCAUUAGCUGUUGCAAGACAGGUUUUCUGAUCCCAAAAUUUAUGGUUGAUGCAUUUGGAUACUACUAGUUUUUCAUAUAUAGAUACAUGUAGAUACUAAUAUGUCUCAUCAGUUUACCUUUACACUAAUAUGUCCCAUCUGUCAACGUAUAUGCUAUAAAUACUACUACUUUCUCACAGCUAGAUACUUUAUGUUUUACCAUUUAUCAUGUCAUUUAUAUACUGGAUGGUAACUCUCUGUAAUAUCAUAUUCACAGGAAGUGCCUGCAAAAUCAAAGGACAGUCCUGGUGGUCCAUGGCAAUUUGUUGGUUUGCUAUCCCUCUUUGAUCCUCCAAGACAUGAUAGUGCCGAGACAAUCCGCAGGGCCCUUAAUCUUGGUGUAAAUGUAAAGAUGAUUACAGGUGAUUGAUUGCUUAUUCAUCUUCCCUUCAAAGCAUGUUCUGCAUGUUAUUGAUGUUCAUUCUUCUCACUAUUAAUUUAUUCAAAUUGUUUGAUAUCUAGGUGAUCAACUUGCUAUUGGCAAGGAGACUGGACGCAGACUUGGAAUGGGAACAAACAUGUAUCCUUCUGCUUCUCUACUCGGUCAACACAAAGAUGAGUCCAUUGCUGGCCUUCCUGUCGAAGAGUUGAUCGAAAAGGCUGAUGGAUUUGCUGGAGUAUUUCCGGGUAAGAUGUGUUGCUCAUGGCUAUUUACACUUCCUGAAGACUAAUAUCAGGGACUUUCAAGGCUUAAGGUUAUAUGGUUUCCAUGCAGAGCACAAAUAUGAAAUAGUGAAGAAGUUGCAGGAGAGGAAGCAUAUUGUUGGGAUGACUGGAGAUGGAGUAAAUGAUGCCCCUGCAUUGAAGAAGGCAGACAUUGGAAUUGCAGUUGCAGAUGCUACUGAUGCUGCAAGAAGUGCUUCUGAUAUUGUGCUUACUGAACCUGGUCUAAGUGUUAUCAUAAGUGCUGUUUUGACUAGUAGAGCUAUUUUCCAGAGAAUGAAGAAUUACACGGUUAGUUUCUUCUCCUAUCUAUUAGUGUAUCAGACUUUUUGUAUGAUGGCCUUCUAAAUUAUCUAUAUUUUCUUUUUUCUUUUACAGAUAUAUGCAGUCUCCAUUACUAUUCGUAUUGUGGUAAGUUCAUUAAAGCAUUUGCAUAACAAUUAAACAGCAGAGAACCUUACACUGAAUUACUUGCUUUUUCUGACACCCCAUCUCUAUUGCAGUUUGGCUUCAUGCUUAUUGCUUUGAUAUGGAAGUUUGAUUUCUCUCCCUUUAUGGUUUUGAUUAUUGCUAUCUUGAAUGACGGUAAGUUUUUUGGUACAAAUCCAAUAAUCAAAUUUUUGUAUGGGUGUCCAAGUUGUCUGGUGUAAUGGAUAUGCUGCUUCAAUCAGGAACAAUUAUGACAAUCUCAAAGGACAGAGUGAAGCCAUCACCUCUCCCUGAUAGCUGGAAACUAAAAGAGAUUUUUGCCACUGGCGUUGUGCUUGGAGGCUACCUGGCAGUGAUGACUGUUGUUUUCUUUUGGGCAAUGCAUAAAACUGACUUUUUCCACGUAAGAAUGAAGCUCUUCUGUUUGAUGUUUAUUUCUUUUUCUGUGUUUACUACUCCAUAAAUAUUGCUUGUUUAAAUCAUUUUUCUGCUUUUUUCUUGAUGAUUCAGGACAAAUUUGGGGUCAAAAAUAUAAGGAACAAUGAGGAUGAAAUGAUGGCUGCUCUAUACCUACAAGUCAGUAUUGUUAGCCAGGCUCUGAUUUUUGUCACUCGGUCGCGCAGUUGGUCUUAUGUUGAACGCCCUGGGCUGUUGUUGUUAACUGCUUUUGUCAUUGCUCAGCUGGUAAGUGUUGGUGCCUUCGCAUUUCUACCUUCAGAGAGUUAAGUUGUCCAUUUGGGGGAAAAACUUCUAUUCUGUUGUAGAAAGAGCUCUACAUCUUCCUUUCUCCUCAUUGUAGAGUCUCCAUUUAUUUUGUUGAAUGACCAAGGAAAAAGGAAAUAAACAGAAGCAAAAGAGUUGAUGUACUAUCCUCCCUAAGAACUGACUUUUCAGGAUUAGAAACAGCGUUUAACUACUAAUGAUACUAGAUUAAAUAACCAUCUUUUUUCCAUGUUCUCCAUGAUAUUAUCCACACAACUUGGAUGUCUCCAUGAUGAGAGUUGAAUGUAUCACAUGAAUAGAGAAAGAAGUUGGAUAGCCUUCCUACCUAUCAUACAUGACAUUAUACUACUCUUCUUGGAUGUUGAAUUCCUUUACCUGUGAUUACUAAUUUAUUAAGGUGCUACUUCUGAUUUGUUACUGACUGUUUAAGAUGCAUAAUAUGUUUUGGUGUUUCAGGUUGCAACGUUGAUUGCUGUUUAUGCUAACUGGAGUUUCGCUAGAAUUAAAGGAUGCGGUUGGGGAUGGGCUGGUGUAAUCUGGCUUUACAGUGUAGUGUUUUAUGUGCCACUUGACUUCCUUAAGUUCUUCAUUCGUUAUGUAUUAAGUGGAAAGGCUUGGCUAAACUUGAUCGACAACAAGGUAUAGCGGAUUUCUCCUCGAACUGCCUUGAAUUUAAUUUUUUAUCCCUUCCCCAUGCUCGUGUUCCUCUCUCUUCAACUCAUCUUGUGCUGCCUUGGAAACAGAUCGCUUUCACAACCAAGAAGGAUUAUGGCAAAGAGGAGAGGGAAGCUCAAUGGGCUGUUGCUCAGAGGACUUUGCAUGGACUUCAACCACCUGCUGCCUCUGGCAUCUUGGACGAAAAGAGCAGCUACAGAGAACUUUCUGAAAUUGCUGAACAAGCCAAAAGGAGAGCUGAAAUGGCCAGGUAAUUAAGACGUUGCUUAGCCGUGUGUCAAAUUUUCACCUUACGCAUGUGCAUUUUGUGCCUGGGAACUCUGUAAUAAACAUUUUCUACGUCGAUUGGCAUAGGCUUCGGGAGCUGCAUACACUCAAGGGUCAUGUUGAGUCAGUGGUGAAGCUCAAAGGCUUGGACAUUGAAACUAUUCAGCAGCAUUAUACCGUCUGAAGAAGUUAAUGAACCCUGAGCGUGAGGGGCCUGCUGGAAAAAGAAGUGUCGAUCAGAGAAAGCAGAGAAGGCCAUAUUAGUUAGAUAAAAGUCUGUCUUGAGAAAGGGCAAUAUAUGUGCCACACAGCUCCCUUUCUGUCUACUUCAGUUUUUUUUUUUUAAUGGUUUUAGGGGUACCCAAGUAAAAAAGGGCCUCCUAGUUAUAUCUUCUGUAACACGUCUUCAACUUGAAUUUCCCUCUCACUUUUGCUUCCUUCUAUCAUCCUGGUGGGUUUUACAGUCUCUGGAUGUCACUUUUGAAUAAUGUAACUAACAGAAAACCUUCCAAUUUUCAACUCAAGAGAUGCUCUCAAUCAAAUGUUUGCAGUGGACGUUCGUUCCCUGAAAAUUCUAAUUGAGCCAGGAUGCUUCAAAUUCUCGUUCGUCCAGCGAAUUUUCACUGAAUUUGGAUUUUACAGUGCCAAUAUACCGACUACUCUCUACUCACAGCAUCCACCGGGCUCUCUUUUUGACAGAAACUGCGUCCAAAACAGAGCUACUAUUGCGAAUUGAAAUUUAUGUGAGUUCGGGCUGAAUAAUGGCCCAAUCACUUUCUUGUUAUUUGUCUUCCGUAUGCUCAAAGCAUGAAAGCGUGGACCCUUAUGCAACAAUAUCGAUAAUUGUUUUCGUUGGAAGUCAAUAAACUUUUUACUGCAUCAAUUAAUCUUUGUCAGAAUCUCCCAGGGGCAAUUGAAAAUUUUUAUUGGAGUAAACAUUACCUGAUGUAAUCAUUGUUCUUGUAUGAGAAAAAGAAAAGGGACAUAAUCGGUUGAUGUUAAUUGACUUACUGUCCAUUCAGGAUUCAAAGAGCCCAGUCGUCUGAUUGACAGACGCACAAAAUACUUUUUAUCUGAAGAUGCUCUUAGGGCUGCUUUUGUUUGAAGAGGAAAGUUUCAAAUCUUGACUAUUGAUUCCAAAAAACAAGAAAAUCUUCCCUAGCCAAGGAAGUUGGCUCUGGGAAUUAAUUCCAAGUGGUACUUGUAAUUUAAUUAGAAUGUGAUCUGCAAAACUAUCUAUAUAUACAUGAUUUGCCAUGUUUGGUAUAAAGGCCACAGAUUUGCAGUCUAAUUUCCUCAGAAGCAUAGACGUGCCGCCGCCUAGUACUCAUC
rnacentral:lncRNA from 1 species